rnacentral:lncRNA from 1 species
CAUCUCUUCCGGUUUUUUAUUACAGCUUCCAGAAUCUGAAUCAUUUUGGCCUUGUACAACGGUUUGUUAACCAUCAUGACAUGCCCUUUUCGUCUAAGUUCUGUUUUGACUAUAUUGGAGGUGUCAUGCUUCAGCAGCCAAGCAAACUUUGCUUUGUUGGAGAAUCUGUCGAGGUAGUUAAGCUGUUCCUUCCAUAUAUCUGUGGUGAGAUCAAGUACUCCGAUAUCCACCACUACGACAAACACAGGGUUCUUGAUUUCUUCUAUAUUUGAAAGCUCUGCUCUCAGUGAAUCAGCAAUAUUGUUCUGUGAAUCAAAGCUGUUGUCACGGCUUCCCAUCUCCAAAAGGUCUCUAAUGAUCUGAGUCAGCUCGUUCCAGUCCGAUGCUUCAACAGUUGCAAUGCCGUGUUUACGCAACCACUUCGAUGUGAUCAUUCUUGCUGUACUUCCAUACAUGGAAAGCAAAACCUAUAGCAUUCAAAACCAAUAACAAUUUCACAAACACAUAACCUUUACACCAAUAACAAUUUCUUUCCCAGAUUACGUACCACGAGACCAUAUUUGGAGAAAUCUGGCUGGAUAUUUUGAUCUGCAGUUUCAGGAGUACUCAAAAUCAAGUACAGUCUCAUUAGAGUCCCUAAGCCAUUCUUCUGCACUACUUUAAUUUCUCCACCCAUUUUGUUAACCUGUAAAAUUACAAAGUAGGUUUCAGAUAAUUUAGUUGCUUCUAUGAAUCAUUAAUUCCUUAAGUUCCAAAACUUAACACACCAAGUUUCGCACGAUACAUAGUCCAAGACCAGUUCCUCCGUGCCUGAAGAAAUAUAAGACCAGCGAGAUAUAAGAUUCAACUAACUAACAGCACAGUUUUUGCUUAAACAUUCACUGCUUGCAGUAAUCAUGAUCUCUUACGUCCGAGUGGUAGAAGGAUCAGCUUGCUCAAAGCUCUCAAAAACCGAGUCCCAUUUGCUUGAUUCUAUUCCUGAAGAUAAUAUUUACAUAAUAAAGAGAUUUUCAGAAUUUGGGAGAUUGAUAAAGCGGAUAGCAAAAGGAAUCUAAGGAACUCAAGUGUCAUACCACAUCCAGUGUCAUCAACCUCAAACCAAAGAACCAUUUUGUUCGCGUUCUUACAAGACUUCUGCAAAUGAUUUCUGUGUUGCACCAGUUUUGUCUUCAUUGGAGCCCAUGGUUUCUUCCUGUCAACAGUUAAUCUCAUCUCAUCAUGUAGAGAAUUUAUGUUCUCGCACCAUCCACGAAGAAUUAUGUGACCCGCUGCAAAGCAACCAUCAUUUUAUAAUUAGCAAUGCAUCUCUUUCAUGAAAACGAAGAGAAGAUAGAUGGUCACAAAACUUACUUGUUGUAAACUUUAUAGAAUUGCUUAUAAGAUUUGCAAAUAUUUGAACAAGUCUUGCCGAGUCUCCUCUGACUAACGCUGGCAUAUCAUCUGCAAAAAGAGAAAAAUAUAUGAGAGUUCAUAACCAAACAUUCAUUGUAGAAAAAUUCAUUAGUGGCUGUCUAAAUAUAAUACCGAGUCAUACCAGAGAGGUCUAGAACUGUCUCUACAUUGUGGUUAAUACACUGCACUGAGAACAUGUCAACAAGUCCUUCAAGUUCUCGCCCCAAAUCGAACUCAGCUUCUUCCAGAACAAGCUUUCCUGACUCAACCUAUGAGGUGGAAAAGGAAGAAAUUAGCUUGUAGCUACAAUUAACAUACUAGUUUCGGGAAAAUCACAGCUAAAACAACUAAAAUGUUACUCACUGCCUAACUUAAGGUAACCAGAUGUAAUACUAAAACUUGAAGAUUUUUUUCAUAUAUCAAAACUAAAAUAAGAUUUUUCUUAUAAUUUCUCACCUUGCUCAAGUCCAGUAUGUUAUUGAGAAGCCGGAGGAGAGCGGUAGAGCACUUUCUGAUCUGAGUGACUGUUGCGUAUUGCUCAUUUGAAAGACAAUCAUCUGAUAUAAGAAUAUCUAGUAAUCCAAUCACAGCAGCCAUAGGUGUCCUCAACUCAUGGCUAGAAUGCAGAAGAUUUCAAAAAGCUCAUUUCAGUAUUAAGCAUUAAGAAUGUUAAACAAUCGGAAGAACUUGUCUCUUGCAUAUACAGUGAUGACCAACCUCAUAUUUGCCAAAAACUGGCUUUUGUAGUUGCUUGAAGCUUCAGCUCUUCUUCUUGCAUCCAGUUGCCUUAUCAGUUCUGCUCUUAGUUUCAUCUCCUUUGAAACUCCAUUUGUGAGAAUCAAAAUGCAGACACAUCCAAUAAAGAAGAUGCAGACAGAAGCAGAAAUCAGUAUAAUCAAAGUCUUGAAGGCCCUUUCAUCCACUUUUCCCAUAAUGAACUUCCUGGGAAUAAUGACAACACCUAUCUGCAAAAUGCGUAAACAGAGAACUCAACAAGGUGAUCCUAUUGGGCGUCUAAAUCUAGCUUAGACUCUUGAUAGGGAAAACUUACAAUUGGAAGUCUCUUGAGAUUAAGAUAGAAUGAAUCAAUGUAAUAUCGUUGGUUACCAAGCUUUACAUUCUCAGCAUGAACUUCUUGAGGGCGUUUACUUCCAUAAGUUUUCUCUAACCACUGGGCUCCUGCCCUUAUAACCCACUCCUCUGAAUCAAUGGCUUUCAUUAGCUUUGGCCCGUUUGUUGUAUUUUUUAAAAGAGGACCAUUUGUGGAAGUAGCAAGCAAGUAUCCUUCCUGAGAUGUCAAAUAGAUAUGUCCACCAUGGACAUCUACAAGAUCUCUCAUCAACUGCCCUACGCUGUAAAGUGCAGUUGUCACCCCCACAACAUCCACGAUACUCUUGUUUGAUGCAUCAAAGACAGGCAAAGCCGCUGAGAGAAGCGGAGAGUCCAUGUAUUUGCUCACUGUCACAUGCCAAGAAGCUUCACCAUCUGGCACUUGUAAGAUUCCUGCGAUGUUGAUCAGAUCAUCGGGUGGAAUUUUAAGAGGCUUUCCCAAUUUUUCCCCUGUUACUGGAUCAAGCUGUUGCUGGUACCAAAUGGCAGUCAUGUUCCCGUGUAUUGACUGGUUGUUCCACCCGCUUACAUCUUCAGGCCCUAUUCCACUGAUGGAAUAGUUUUUUAGAUCGGAGAAGAUGUAGAAUGUGCUGCUACUUGCUGGAUCUCUGUGAAAAGCUUGGACAAAUCCAUUUCUGUAGUUUAUAGUUAUGGCAUUUAGAGCUUUGGCACUAGCAAACAGAGCCCAUGUCACAUCCUUCAUUGCUUGAUACAUCUGAUAAAUGUUUUUAACUAAAAAGUAAAUAAAGGAUCUCAAACCAAACAUGGGACCACAAAGAAUAGACAGGGAAACAGAAAAGGAAACCUCGACGAGCUCUUCUUGAGUUGUUGGCUUGUCAUAUUUUUUGAUGACAUAUUCAGAUAACUUGACUUGAGCUGUUGUUAGCUCGGAUGUGGUGUUUAAAACGCUCCACAUCCGUAAGACCGGACGCUGAAGAAGCUCGUAUCGAAGGCCAUAUGCUAAUGUUUUAAGUGACUGCUUCGUGUAAAUCCUUGUGAAAUGCCAUGUUAGAACGGUUAAAAGCCCUAUCAGAAUUGCUAACAUCACCUGCACACACACACACAACAUUUCUCAACUCACAAAGCUUCUACCUUUCUCAUCAAAUGGUUCGGUUUUCAAGUUUGAUCAUAAACUAAACAUGCCAACAUCAGAAACUUUGAUCGGAAUUCUCAAGCUAGAUUAGAUGAAAUCAAACAAAAGAUGAUGAAAUCUAACCAUUAUAGCGAGGCGAACAACAAAGACACUGUAGUAAGAAGACAAACAGUGACUACUUGCGUAUUGAAACUCAUCUUGUUCAACAUCUCCACGCAAAAUCAUCAUCUCUCUUGGACUCUCCAAAUUACUUCUCCAAGGGGUAACCCAUUGAGUCAUUUUAUCGAACACCUUCCUGAUCUUCCUCGAAACCAUUGGAGAAUCAGGAAUAUUCUCAAUAUUCAUUGAGAAGCUAUCUCCUCUCAUCUUGUUUCAGAUGAUCCCAAAUCACAAACAAUGACACAUAUUGGUUCUUUCUUUGUUAUUGUUGUUGGUGAACUUUUGGGUGCUUUGCUUAGUGGAAACUAAUGACUAUACUGCUUCUUGUGUCACUCCCCACUUUUUAAUUAAUACCCAAAUUAAAAAAAUCAAAACUUUAGUAGACAAAUCAGAAACCCAUGAAGGAAAAUGUCAAAAGCUUCAAACUUUUUAAUUGGGAAAAAAAUCUCUUCUUCAUCAACAGAGAAGACAAGUUUGGUUAGAGACUGGAGGAGAAGAAGCAAAACGAUGUUCUGAUUUAUAAAGAGAAUAAUAAAUAGAAAGAUGAAAUCUUUAUGCUUUAUUAAAGGGAAAUCAAAUAAGGGAAAAAGCAAGAAGAUUUGGGUAAAGUGAUUGAGAGAGAAUGAUCUUCGAAUUUGGCCAGUGGGAAUGUGUAGAAGCUAAAAUGGCCAAUGGAGAGAGAUAUUUGGCUUUCAGAAAAUAUAGAGGCUGUUUGUUGUACUACGGUUUCGAAGAAGAAUUUUCCAAAGUUUUUUAACUUUUAAUUAAUGGUAAUUGAUUUUAAAGAAGAUGAAAUUUAAAGGACCCAAGUUUUGUCUUGUCUCUAUCUCAGAAAGUUUCAAAUAUUUGUGCUUUGUGGAUUGGUAUUUAUUUAUGGAUUCGUCUUACACUUAUACAAUAACAAAGAAAACAUAUAUAAAUUUUUUGUACGGGUUUAUAAAUAUUAAAGUAACUAAAUAUGUAUAUAACAAUUGAUUGAAUUGUUUAUUAUUAAUGGAAUUUAUAGAGUAAUUAAUCACACAAUAUCUCAACGAUUUUAAAAGAUCCCGAUAUUCAUUGGAUUGUAGCAAAACUGUAAUAUUAAGUGGGUUGAAAAUAUCCACAAAAUGACGAAAAUACAUUUAUCUAUGUCUCCCAUGACAUCUGCUCUCAUCUGUGUGUCUUGUGAAUUUAUAUCACUCUCUUUUAUUUUCUUCGUUUUCAUUGUUAGGCUUUGUUUUGGAUUCAGAGUUAUUUUGUUUUUCAUCGGCCUAGUUUCUCGAGACUUAGUCGGCUUCGUGUAUCAAAAACGUAUCCCAUUUCCACAAUCGUGUUUUAAUCAUAUUAACUAUUUAAGAAGAAAAAAAUGAAGAUAGCGAUUGCUUUUAUUUUUCGUGUCUAUUUUCGUUAAAUAUUCAAAAAAACCAGAAAACAAUUUCGAAAACAAAGAUUAUAUCCAUUUUUACCACGCAUUUAUUUUUUACGUUAAAUAUGAAAAAAUAAUUACCUUAUAUAUAUAUAUAUAUAUAUUCAUAUGUCACUUUUUAUGUAUAUAAACCAAUAUUAUAAUAUUAAUCAAAAUAAAAUAUUUGGUUAGUAUGGAACUCCAUUCUGUGCAUUAAUUGUUUAAACUGUACACCUGACUUUUCGGCUAUAUUAAAGGUCUCGAUGUUUCUCAGCUAAGUCAAUUUUCUACCGAUAUUCCAAAGUCAUUUUGGUCAAUCAUAUUUGUUUGUCUUACUUACUUCACAAACAAUUUUUGAAGUUUGGUAAAUACUUCUCUAUUAUUUAGUAUAUAAUUAACUCAAUUUUAAUUACAUAAUCAAAAAUAUACAUAUGAAAAUUAGAUAACAAAAUAAUAAUUAAUUUUUGGUAAAGGUAAUUAUAAAUAUUCAAAAUUUUAAAUUUAUAAUUGAUCAAAAAUCUAAAAAUAUUAUUUUUAUAGAAAAUAUAUUAUGUUUUCAAUAAAAAUGAUAAGUGUGAGAUCUAAUAAAUUAUUAUCUCCUUAUAGUGUAAUAAUGUUGUGUUGUAAGUGCUAAUAAUUUUUUUUAUAAAAUUAACUUUUAUCAAAUAUUAUAUAGAAUUUAAUGCACUGUUACUGUUGGAUACAUGUAGUUUACAAUUACAAGUUACAACUCAAAUGACCAACACAAUUCACACACAUUAGUACAAUAGCCAACUUUUAAUUAGAAGAGCAUUAAAAACAUAUACCGUUUUGAUAUUACAAACAUAUGACCAUUUCCUUUCCUUGUAUAUACUACGAACUAAACAAGCUAAACAAAUCAGUUUUUGAAAUUAAAAAGAGAGAGCAAAAAGAACUUAAUCGGCCCUUAAGCAAUACUCCCUCUGUUUCAAUUUAUUUGUAUUUUAAGGUUUUUGCACAGAUUAAGAAAUCACAAAAAUCUCAUUUAAUUUACAUUUUUAACAUAAAAAUAUUCUUAACUACAACUAAUUCAACCAAUAAAAACAUGCUGUAAAAUAUAAUUGGUCAAAAACUAUUAAAUACAUUUAAUUUUUUGUAUAGAAAACUGAAAAUAACAAUUAUUUUGCAAAAAAAAAAAAUUGGUUAAACUACAAAUAAAUUGAAAGAGAAGAGUAUUUUUGUUUGCUCAACAUCUCAACAUGGAUUUUGAAAAGCUUAGUAUGUCUUUAACUUUUUUCAGUAGUCUAUUUAAGGUUAUUGGUUAAUGAAAAAAUUGUCACUGAUUAACGGGAAAAAACGGUUGAACUGUCACUGAUGGGAAGGAAAAAAUUUGCUUUCAUCAUAUCAAUGGUGAUAAUUAAUUUUGACCAAACUUUAGUAAGAAUCUUUUGGAGCUUCAAGAUCAAGUAACAAAUCUAUAAAGCAUAGUCGGUGAUAUUAACGACCCGUGAAUUUGGUAAAAUAAAGUUACAAAUUUAUUCAUAGCUCUCUUUAAUAAGUCAAAUAUAUUUAAGGUAGAUUAAAAAAUAAAUAGAUAUUUAAGGUUCUUUUUUGGUUUGAAGGUAUCUUCCUUUGAGAUAUUUGAUUUUUCUUUAUGUGUUGUAUGAAUAUUAUCCGGUUGAUCAAAAUUGGCUAACUCAACUAAGUCAAUUACCAUUCCUCUCAAUAUCUUAAAUUCGAUUCUGCAAGGUAUUGAAAAGGAUUGCUCUUCAAUCCAGUGGAAUACAUAUAUUCGUUAAAAAAAAAAAAAAAGGUUGAUAGACAAGAUUGUAGUGUGGCUAAAUAUAUGAAUAUAUCUCAUCAUUUGAAGUAAUUAAUAUAUUUCAAAUUUUAAUUCAUAGAGAUUCAAACAUUCAAGUAUAAAUCGUAAUUAAAUACAUAUACUCAACUCAUCUAGAUGAUAAAACAUGUAUAGUUUAAUUCUUAGAUAUAAUCUGCUAAUAUAAUUUUUCGGUUUGUUUGUGUUUAAAGCAAGAUUCAAAUCUAGCUUUCGCAUCAAAUCAAUAACAAAUGAGAUCACAAUCCAAAGAAAAAAGAUUUGAAAAUCUAAACAAAAUCUCAAAAGGAUCUAUUUGGAAGACUUAAGGUGAAUGGUAAUGAUGUGUCUUAAAAAAGAAAUGUGCAUGCAUGGUUACUGGUUAGUGAAACUUGUAAGCCUUUUGAAUCUUCAAAGUCUCACAAACAUUCCACUUAAUUAUAUGCAUAUGGAUAUGCAUAGAUCAUAAUCUUAUAUUAUCUUUUUAAUUAACAUUGUGUGCUCUUUGGUGGUGGCUCAUUUUGGUUGUGGAAACAAAAGCCAAGUUGAUAAUAAUAACUAACAUGUAUGGGAUAUACAGCUUUCAAAUUCUAAUACGCAUAUAAAUUUAGGUAUUAUAUUUAAUGCAUGGUUGAGGUGCUAAACCAUCAAAUAGGAUUAAAUUACGAAUGAUAAAGAUCUUUGCCACAUAAUAAGAUUUGUUAGCCAUAAACAGUAAAUGGAAAUACGAUUUACUAAAAUAUACUAUGAUAAUAGCUGAUUUAUCAGAUGAAUAGUUUAGUGGAAACACUUGAGCUGAACAACAUACAUGUUUAAUAUCACAAGACAAAGAAGAAAAUGAAAAGCUAAUGUUUUUCUAAAACAUAAAAAAAUUUAUAAUUUUUUUUUUUUGUGUGUGGGGAAACAUACUGGUUUAAUCUAAUUUCUGAAUUAGUUCUGAAUUUGACGAUGCUUUAACCAAACCAUACAUGUUAAAUAGAAAAGAAAAUUCAACUUCCUUUAAACUAAUUAAACCGUUAAUCAUAAAUCACAAUAAACAAAAAUUAUUCUAGUACGUAAUUAUUCCAUUAUUAUGACAUAUAUUUUUAAAAUAUCCCCAAAAUAUUUAAGAAAUGUUGAUAGAUCAUUGGUAAAACAAACUUUAAGCUUAAGAAUAACUCAUGAAAAGUAUGAUAUCUUUGCUAAAUAAAGUUUAGACGCUGGGUCAAUUUCUUUCUAAUUAUGUAUAGUAAAAUAAUCUUACACAAUCAGUGUGAAGGAGGCAGUUAUUGAAAAUAUAAAAUAGCAAAGAAAUGAUAAACAUCCUCGAUUAAGACUUGUUUAAAAAUUUCCCACGAGAGAAUCGGACAAGAAAUUUAAAGUGAAGAUGCGGUAAGCAUAUAUAUAUAUAUUAUCUCAUAUAAAUGGAUUUUAAGAUUUAUAUUUAUAACAUAUAUAAAAAAAAAUAAGAAGAGGAUAAGAUUAAAUGGUGCAAAGCACUUAGUAACCAUUGGUGGUUUCGACAAUUAUAGGGCAUUUGAUUCGAUCUCCUAUCAGUCUUCCAUUACCCUUUUGGUUCUAUAGAUCUUUUUUGUAAUAUUUAUGUGGACCUAUGCGUAAGCUUAUAUAAAUGAGUGAUUAUUAUUUUAUAAUUUUCUUAAGUUUCUAACAAAUUCUAGGAAUAAUAGACGUUGGUUCUGUUGAAUCAGAUACCAGAUACGAAUCAAAUGGAUUGAAGAUUUCUGAAUAUGUAAUGUUUUUGCAUUUAAAAUAAUUUGACGUUUUAGAUUUUGUUAUUUCCAUUUUUUGACAGUUUUAUUUUUAUAUCAAAUUAUUAAUGGUCAAGUUAGGUACUAAUCGACUAUAACUCAUCAUUGAUAAUCUAAAACAUCUAAUUAACAACAUUUUGGUCAUUCUCAUAAAAAAAAAAAAAAAACGACCUAUCAUCAUCUAUGUAUAAGACCAAUCACUAUUUUGUACUCCUUCGGUCCCAAAUUAUAGGAUGUUUUAGCAUUUUAUCUUUGUUCUAUUUUAUAAGAUUUUUUCCAGAUUUUUAUGCAUAAUUUAUGUUUAUUUAGUAUGUUAUGACCAUUUAAAUUCUGCAGUCUUUUUUUCUAUUGGCUAAAUUUCUAUAAAAAUAAACAUUAAUUAUUUCUUAAUCUUUGUAUUUUUACACAAAACAUCUUAUAAAAUGGGAUAGAGGGAGUAUUUUCUUAGUUUCAUAAUAGAUUCUAGAAACAGACCAGGGUCAACUACUUGGGUUUAUUGAAUCAGAUACGAAUGUUUAAAAGAUUUUCUGAAUAUAGAAUAGUUUCAAUUUUAUUUUUAAAUAUUUGACGCUUUAGAAUUAUUCCUUAUUUCCAUUUUUGGACAGUUGUAUAUCAAAAUUUAUCAAAUUAUCAAUGUUCAAAUAAAAUGCUAGGUACUAAUCGACCGUACUCCAGCAUCUAUAGAAACUAAAACCUCUAACUAACAGUAAGCGAUUUUAUGGACUAGUUAAUAAAUGGAAUCUAUAAAAGCAAAAAAAAAUUAUUAUUUAUAACCAAAAGAAAUCUAAAAUUGGUAAAAAAUAAAACUCAAUAAAUUCUUUUUUUUUUGAAGUGUUUCCAAAGAAAACCUCCAAAUUCAAUUACCGAUUUCUUAUAGUAGAUAACUAGAUAUAUAUUUUGGUAUAUAUAUCAACACUAGAAUUUAACCCGCGGUACACCGAGAGGCUAUAUUUUUUUAAAAAAUAUAAUGUUAGUUCUAUAAAGAUUAACUGAAGAUAUAUCAUAUUAAUUUGUAUUUUUAAAUGUAGAUAUCUAUCUAUGUAUUAUUUAGUGUAUGAUUACUAUUGUUUAGGUUUCAAUUUUUGAAGUAUAGAUACAAAAACAUACUUUUUUUUUAAGUAACGAUGUAUGGUGGAUUUUAAAAUUUUGAAUAUUUUACUCCGCAAUAUACCGUGGGUCGACUUUUUUAUAACUAAAAAUUUUAAAUUUGAAGUUGUAUUUGUUUUGUUAAUAUUGUUUCUUUUGUUUUGUGUUUAAGAUUGUAUAAUUGUAUUUUGAUUGUUAAUUUUAUGAUUUCAUCCAUGAUAUACCGUUAUUUAUUAAUAUCGACCCAAACCCGUCAUUCCAUAUAAACCCGUCUACAUUAUCCCGUUAGCUAAAUUAUUAGUGUCAUAAAAUCCAAAAAAAAAAAAUUAUUAUUGUUAUAAAAUCCAAUAAAUAGGAUCUCACCCGUGGUAUACCGUUCUUUGAAUGAUUUUAAAUUUAUACUACUAAUAUAUAUUUUAAAUUUAUCAUAUAAAAUAUAUGAUUUCAAGUUUUUGUGUUUUUAUUUUAUUUAAAUAAAGCAACGGCUUAAAUGAUGAUAAAUAUAGUUCUUUUUCUUGUAUGUGUAUAUGAUUUUUCUAUGUGAAUAUUUUGAUUAUUAUAAAUUAGUAUUUGUAUUGCUAUGCAAAAUGUUAAUAUAAUUAUUUGCUAUAAAUUUUUUUGAAGAUAUAUGGAAAAAUUGUGUUGAGAUUUUUGGAAACAAAUUAGGAAAGAUAUUGUUUGGUUAAUAUCUUUUAUUUAAAUUUUGUAAAAGUAAAUAAUAAAUGUCAAUGGCAUGGACUCGUAAAUAAGAUGGAACUCUAGGAUUUAUUUGCUAAAAAUACUCAAAAGAAAUGUAUAUAUAGAUGCUCUCGCCUCUCAGAAAAGAAUAAUAAAAAUAAAAUCGUUUCUUGCUAAAAAAGAAACAUUGAAAGCCCACGAUUGGCCCAGUGGGUUUCUAUGUGCUUUCAAAAGCCCACGAAAGCACCUCCAUGGAAGAAAUUGGCAAGGGGGGAGGGGAGUUUUUGUUUCGAAGCUUAAGCUUGAUCCUGAUCCUAACUCAAUAGUUCAACAAUGACGAUAAUGUCAGAUCUUCCACGGGAUUUGUUAGCGGAGAUUCUCAGUAAGGUUCCGUUGACAUCUCUAAGAGCAGUGCGGUUCACUUGCAAAAAAUGGAACGAUUUAUCCAAAGAUCGGAGCUUUCACAAGAAGCAAAUCAUCGAAGCAAAGAAGAAGCAAUUGAAAGAGUUUGAGGUGAUCAUGAUGAGGAAUUUUAGGGUUUAUCUGACGAGUGUCGAUAUCCACAGCGAUGUUGAUCCAUCUUUUACGCCUAAAGGUACACUUAUUAGCUUAAACGAUGAUGCAAAUCAUCAUCAAGUCGAUAAUGUAUCUAAGGUCUUUCACUGCGAUGGCUUACUCUUAUGCAUCACCAAAGACCUUAACUUUAGGCUUGUGGUUUGGAAUCCUUAUUUUGGGCAAAUAAGAUGGAUCAAACCCAGAAAUUCUUAUCACAUUUUGGAUAGUUACGCUUUUGGGUACGACGAGAAUAAGAACCACAAAAUCUUGAGAUUUAAGGAUAAUUAUUACACUUUUAGUGCACAGGAUCAGAUUUGUGAGUUUGAAGUCUAUAGUUUUGAGUCUAAUUCAUGGAAGGUUGUUCUUGAUGUGAGUCCUGCCUGCGAUAUAGAGGCUUAUAACCGUGGAUUGUCUCUUAAGGGGAAUACUUACUGGUAUGCUAAAGAUAAGUAUGACAGAGGAGGAGAGGAUAUUGAUUUCUUGAUAUGUUUUGAUUUCACAUCAGAGAGAUUUGGACCGCGUCUGCCUCUGCCUUUUAACUCUUCUCCUACUUGGGAAGAUAUUGUUACUCUCUCUAGUGUUGGAGAAGAUCAGCUUGCGGUGUUGUUUCAGAGCAAUCGUACAAAGUGGAUGGAGAUUUGGAUUACGAGCAAGAUUGAGCCUACAGAGGUUUCAUGGAACAAGUUGUUCUUAGCGGUUGAUAUGAGAGCACUCACUCGUUUUGAGUUCCUGGCCCAUGCUGGGAGUUUCUUCAUUGACCAGAAGAAGAAUGUUGUUGUGGUUUUUGAUAGAGAUAUGGAUGCCCCUACCGAUCGUGGCAUGGCUUACAUUAUUGGGAAGAAUGGAUACUUCAGAAAAGUGGAUCUUGGGGAAGAUGCAGACUCGAGUUGUUACCCACUUGUCUGUUCUUAUGUUCCAAGCUCAGUGCAAAUCAGGCAGCUAACCUGAUUAUUAUUAUUAACUACUGUUUUCUUUUUCUGGCAUCUUCGAUUGUAUAAAUCUGACCAUUGUUAUCACUUAUCUGGAAUCUCAGAGACAUGGCCUCUACUACAUGUAAACUCUGUUGUGGCUCUUCCAGACAUUUCUUUGAAAUAGUCGAAUGCAUCUUGAACUUUAUCUUUGGGAGAUUUUUUUACCAUUGCUAGUUAGCUGAAAAGAGUGAGUAUCAUGCAUGAUGCAAUCACUCACUCACUUAUUUCAAGGAAUCUUGAUUUGGCCAACUUACAAAUACAGCACAUAUUCCGUAUCAACUCAGAGACAUUACAUGAUUCUCAUAGAGAAACAUAAACACUUCACAACAACUACUAAUCCACACCUCUUUUCAGUUUUACUUCUGUAUCAGAAGACAACAAGACGAUACAAACAAACAGGACAAAUGAGUCUGUUUUGCUUCAUCAGGAAAGCCUUCCUACGCUUUCUUUUGUGAAGCUGCAGAUCUAAUGGCAGUCUUUGCAAGCGUCGAAGGCUUGAGUACACUCUUAGGGUUAAUAGCCUUUCUGAUUUUGAAAGCAACCCAGGCUGUGCCAAUCGCAUAUCCUGCUGCAUCGAGCCCUUCGUUUGUUGCCUCAGCCGCUUUACCACCAUACCUACAUUCAUCAAAACCAAAAUUUACAUUCUUCUCUUAAACACUUCCAUACCCGAAUAACCAAGAGUUUCAAAUCCCAGAUAUUCGAUUUACUUACUUGUGAUCAACAAGUUCAGUUGUGACAGUGGAAGAGGUUGACAUUACAUUCCUCCCAGCUACUUCAACAGCAUCACAGACCUUAUCUAUCAAAACAGGAAUCAACAGUUUCAAUGAUUAUGAAAUCUAAAGAUAGCUGCAUAAAGUCAAGUUAAGUAUAUUAUAUGAUAUAAGAUUAGUGUACUUACUGAAUCCGUCAAGAGAUGCAAGGAUGACUUCUCCAGGAAGAAGACUAAAGAAUUUCUUUCCUACUUUGGUGUUUGCCACUGAACUUGUGAAGAAUCCAGAAACUUUAAGGACUCCAGACAGUAUGCUGUUUGCUACACUCUCUGUCAUUUUGGUCAUCCUCUUCACUCUGAAUAGGCAAAAACAUAACGAGACACCAAUACACAUAACUAUGAGUCGCAAUAAUGACAUAUAACAACACCAUAUGCAGCAUUCAGCAUUGUCAUGUUUGGAACAUCUAAAGACGACAUAUUAAAAACUGUCUUCUCAGCUUUCAAGUUACACUCUCCAUGACACACCAUAAAAAAAUCAAGAUCAGCAAUUAAAACUCAUGUCUAGAGAUUUUCCUAAGAUAGAAAACACAUUCCACCUAUUUAGCACAAACCCUUUUCCAGAAACUAACUAGAAGAAACAUCACAAACCUCACAAAGCAAAACCAAAACAUAUGAAACACUUUAAUUUGAAUCAGGCAAAAGUGACUAUAAUCAAAACCACAAUUCAAUUUACAAGAAACCAUUCAUACCUCCUGAUUCUUUUCAAGGUGUCAGGGUGAACUUCACUCUCCUUCUCAGCCUUUGACAAUCUCCUUUUCAUGAAACCAUUUCCCCAAAUGAGCCUAUCCAUAGUCACAUCUCCACACCAAAGAAUCCCUUUUAUCAAAUGUCCUGAACCAGUUGCAAUCAGCUUCGCCGCCUUCCCGCUAUAAUCCUCCACAUUCGGAGCUAAAGUCGUCCAAUAAGCCGAACAUUGUCUCUCCACAAUCUCUUUCCUCUCUCCAGUAAGCUCCACCGGCGACGUCUCUCUCGCCACCGUCACAUCCAAAACCUUUUCCCCUGCUUCCUUCGCUUCCUCCGACACUUCCUGCACCGUGAAACAACUAUAAUCCUCCAAGAUCUUCUCAAGCUCCACCAACAGAUGCUCUUGACCUUUAGAAGCAAUUGUAAGUCCGUAGUUCAACAUCUCGUUAGUGUUUUUCGCUCCGUCUUCCUCGUCGCUUGAAUCAUGUGCGAUUUCUUUGGUAGGACGAAGCGUGAAGAAGUAAUGAGACUCAUCGACUUUGACGGAGUUCUCAUCCUUAGUCAACGGCCAUUGAAUCUCAUCUCCAACACGAGCGAGAACAGCGACAACAUUCUCUCCUUGAACAAUACGGAUGAUCGAAAGAUCGCCGCAAGCGAGCUCGACGCUGUAAGAUGUGUCGAUUAAGUGAAGAAUCGCGCCGGAGAUUUUCAAAAUUACUUCCUCCGUCGCUGCAGGAGGAGCCGCAACGGGAACGGAACUCGUCUCCGGUUGCUCAGGGAAGAGAUUACGAGCGAGAUCAUUCAUAUCGAGAGAAGGAUAGAGAUUAUUAGUAGAUGAUGAAGAGCUAGGGUUUAUAGGAGCUUCGGGAUUCGAUGUGUCAACAGUAGGGUAGAGAGAUGAAGUUUGCUUGUCGCCGGAGGGUUCCAUUGUCGCCGGAGAUUUCAAAUCGGAGGAAAAUGAUUGAAGAAUGAAGAAGACUUGGUUUGGUGCUGAAUUGAUUAAAGAUAUUUAUUUGAAGAGGAAGGAAAGUGACCAAGUUUAUAAGUAUCUCUGUAUCUGUCAGUGUCAGAUUACGUGGAGGUUGCGCGUAAGUAACGCGUGUAAACCGGUUCGGUUUAUUACUUAACCUUGUCGACAUCUUUUCCGCGCGGUUACACGGUUCAUUUUUCUCAUGUCGGUCGGUCUAUUUGUCUCGGAUAUUGCAUCAAACUCAUAAAAAGAGUGUACUAAUAAUAAAUAAUUUAAUAUGCAGUUGCUCUAAAUUAUUACAAUGUUAUUAUAUUUAUUUAAAUGUAACAAUAAAAGGAUUGAAGAAAAAAAAAUUCUUAGUAAAGAGGAAGUCAAGUUUUUCUAAGUUUAAUCGUGUUGUUUAAUUAAAUAACAGGCUAUUUUGACGACAAAAAUAGAAUAAUAAUAUUUGAUAAAAUAAUUAUGGCUAUAAUUUACUCUAAAUAACAUGGUGUCGAAAACAUCUAAAAAUUCACUUUCCUAUCGUUUUUUUAAUAAUCGGUUGUAUUUGUGGAUAUAUAUUUUUAUUUGUUUAGUAAUGAAUAUUGAUGUACUCUUACUAUAUCAAUUUUUGUACAAAAUUUCAAAUAAAUAAAUGAAUUAGAUGUUAAUAAAAACAUGGUAUUUUGUCCAAAUUUAUUACAUAUGUAAAAUGACAUACUUUGAACUAUUAACACGUCAUUGCUUGACUUAAAACUUAAAUUAUCGUGAAUAUUAUUAUAUAAUUAACUAUUUUACAUUUAGUUAACAAAAUAAAUUUUUUUUUUCGAUCCUAACAAUAUAACGACUAUCCAUGAUUGAAUUUUUAAAAUUUUGCUAUCGAUUGCAAGGAUCUGGUUAGCUCUGUCUCCAGAGCGCAAACUUGGCCCUCUUUCAUAAAUUAUGUUGAAAGAAUUCUUAGGACUCUCAGGUUUAUUUUGGAUUGGCGUCUUGAGUAUAAAGAAUAGAAGACAAACAUAAGUGUUUACUUUAUUGCUCGCAGCAUAACAAUGGAGGAUCGUAUAAAGAUGAGAGUUGUGUUACUUAGUGUAAUACCAUUUUGUCUUUGUUGGUGAUUGCUCUUGAUCCUUGUUAAAGGAACAUAACUUUACUUUUCUUAAUGGUUAAUGAAAUUCACAUAUGAAAAAAAAAAAUCUCAUUAAGAAACUUAGAUUGGUUCAAGGCAAAAACAUUAACAGAGACCCAUAUCCAGGCCCAAAAUAUUUUUCUGAAAUCCACUAGCCAAAAUUAUUUACAAAUUGGCCCAAAACUAAUUUAUUUUUAUAACAAUUGGCCCAAAUUUUCUAAAGCAUCUUAAAUAACCUGAUUCUUUUUUUUUAAGCUUUGGCCCAAAACAAUUCAGGGCCGGCCCUGCCCAUAUAGUCUUUUAUUCACGUUUCAAAAAAACACACACACAGAACAGGGGAUUUGAAAUAUGUUUCCAACUUGGGUAAUUUUCUUGACCUUGUGGGUUAUAGAACUAGCAAGGAACAUUAAAGAGUUUCUCUGAUAACAUGUCGUUUCUCAAAUUCUUCAAACAGUUCUGUAUUAAUAGCUCUCAAAUUCCAGAAAUCACCAGACAAUAUCCAACUAACAAUAAAGACUUAGACUCCACUGAUUCUAAUUCUCUAAAAGGUUUUGUAAGUUUGGUUGAUAGACAAAUCCGUUACAGAUUUAAAUUGCCACGUUAAAUUGUUGUUUUGGUUUAGAGACAAGUCUUUGUAUUUAAACUAUGUUAUGGGCUUCUCCUUCUCCACCGAAGAACACGCAAAGAGAAACAAUAUGAGUAAUCAUCAAACUGUGAGAUACUUUUUCUCUUAUAUCUCAUUAUCUUAAUUAUAUUCAAAUUUAUCAGAUAGGCUUUGUAAUCAUCUUUCAUGAUGACUCCAACAAAGCAGGUGUUGAAGCAACUAGAGCCAUGGUGUGAACUUAAAGACAAAGUGGUUCUUGUGACAGGAGCUUCCUCUGGUAUAGGAAGAGAGGUAUGUCUUGAUCUAGCCAAAGCUGGCUGUAAGAUUAUCGCAGAAGCUCGUCGUGUCGAUCGUCUCAAAUCUCUCUGCUCUGAAAUAAAUAGCUUCGAAUAUUCAGCCGGACUUCAAGCUGCAGCUCUUGAGCUAGACGUUUCAUCAGACGCACCCACCAUUCAAAAAGCGGUUAAGGAAGCUUGGUAAAUCUUUGGAAAGAUCGAUGUGUUGAUCAACAAUGCGGGAUUUAGAGGCAAUGUCAAGUCGAGUUUGUAUUUGUCCGAAGACAGAGUGGGACAAAGUCAUCAAGACCAACUUAACGGGAACUUGGUUAGUCUCCAAAUAUGUAUGCAUUUUAAUGCGCGACGCUAAACGUGGUGGCUCGGUGAUAAGCAUAUUAUCAGUCUCUGGCCUCCACCGCGGUCAGGUGCCUGGUGGAGUCGCGUAUGCUUGUUCUAAAGGCGGUGUUGACACCAUGACAAGGAUGAUGGCUGUUGGGUUAGGUGUUUACAAGAUCAGAGUGAAUUCGAUCGCACCGGGGCUUUUAAAGUCAGAGAUCACACAAGGUCUUAUGCAAAAAGAGUGGCUCAAGAACGUUAAUGAACGGAUAGUCCCAUUAAAGGUACAACAGGCAGUGGAUCCGGGGCUUACAUCUCUCGUUCGCUACCUCAUUCACGACUCGUCUCAAUAUAUCUCCGGGAAUACAUACAUUGUCGAUUCCGGAUCUUCAUUACCCGGCGUGCCUAUUUUUUCAUCUCUCUAAACCUUGAACCCCAAAUCUUGUGUUUUUGCAAUAUAAUUAGUGAAUACAUUUACACAUUCUCUACGUAGAUUUAAAGUAAAAAAAUACAUUAAGAUGCUUGUAUUUGAAGAAUCUGAAUCAAAGCUCAUCAUACUUGAGUUCCUUGUGUUCCACUUUAACUGGAAAUCUCUUGUCGACCCAAGCAAUGUAACCACCGUCCAUGUUUUUAACAUUCUUGAAGCCCUAUCACAUUAUCAAACAAUCCCAUUAAAUCUCAUUAAUAAACUCAGAUAGAUUCAAAGAAGAAACAAAUAUAGAGACCCAGAUCCUCUGUUUCUGUUCACGUUACAAGAAAAAAAAAGAAAAGAUUUAUAAAUCUUGAAAGUCUUUGUUACUUACAGAAGAAACAAGAACUUUGGUAGCAUAUAAUGAUCUAACUCCCGAUUUACAUCCCUACAAAACAAGAUCAAAACAACAGAUUCUAGAUUCAUAUCCAGUGACUUCAAAAUAUACUUCCACUUACACAUGAUUAGGACAAGACUCUGUUAUUACCACGACGAGAUGAUUGGUUUGGUUACAGAGAGAUGAAACAUGUUUCAAGAAAUUAGGGUUAAUCUCUUGCCCCUGUGGAGAAUAUAACCAGUAAGGAACAUUGAAGACUUUCUCUGAAUCAACAUGGCCUUCCUCGAAUUCUUCAACAGUUCUGUGUUUAACAGUUCUCAAACUUCAGAAAUCAAAGACACAAACAACAAUAAAGACAUGACUGAAUCUGAAAGGUUUUAAGAUAUACCUGACAUCAAGAAACGUGUAGCCAGAAUCAAGAAGUUUCUGGGCUUGGCUUACAUCGAUAGUAAUAACUUUUGGUUCUGAGUUUGAUGAAGUCGUGCGAGGAAGAUCAAUAGAAACAAUGAUAAGAAGAAGAAGAAGAAAGGAUUUUAUAACGUGUAAAGAAUCCAUUUUGUUGCUGAAUUAAUUUUUCUAGAGUCUCUGAACAAAGAAUCAGUUUAAAUUGUGUAUAUUAAUAGUCCAAAUAUAUUCUUUUUAAAUCCGGUGCUAUCCGCCGUUGGAUUCGAGCACUCUGUUUUCUUUUUGGCGGCAGAGGUAUUGACCAAAAACACUAGUUUAAUAUACUGAUUCACGUUGACAAAUAAAAGAAAAAAAUCAUUUAAAAUCAAUAUAUACAUGCUUUAUGCAUAAAAGGAAAAAUUAAACUAUUUAGUAUUAUUGUUGUGUAACUAUUUAACUAUUACUAAAUAAUUUAACUAUUUAUAUGUUGUAAAUAUAAAGUCAAUAUUUCAAAUAAUGAUAUAUAUAAAUUCUAUAAUUUAAUGAAAACUAGAAUAAUGUAUAUAUUACUCGAAUAGUGUAACUAUAUGUUGUAAAUAUAUAGUCAAUAUUUCAAAUAAUGAUAAAGAUAAAUUCUGUAAUUUAGUGAAAACUCUUUCACGUUUCGAUUCGCAACAAAAUCAAUCACAUAAAUAAAAUAAAAUUUUCCUAAUCAAAAAAUGAAAAAACUAGAAUGAACAAAAAAAAAGAAAUAGUCGGUGCCGUAUUUUAUCACUAAAGUCCACUACCCACCCAAGAAACCGCAACAGCCAAAACGCCCAAUGAUAACGCAACUGAGAUUCUUCGCGACGCGUCGGAAACGCUAAGCGCAUCCGGUUGCAGACGCGGAGGAGAUGCACUCUUCAAGUCUUCACUGAUUUAAAAACAGAACAAACAAAAAAAAGUAAAACCGUUACAAAAUCCUAAGUUAAUUUUUGUUAUCAUAGAAAAAAAUAAAAAAUUGUUAAAAUUUGAAUAGAAACCAAAUACUAAUAUUCGGUUUGGUUUUAAACAGUUUUGAUUUUGAUAGGGUAAAAUAAUCCUAGCUAGGAAACUCUUUACUUUUCUAUUAAGAAUCGGAAACAAGCCUUUUAAAAUUACCAAAAACAUUUUUUUUGUCAAAACCAAAAACACUAAAAUUAACAUUUUUCGAAUAUUAAUAUCCUUAUUCGUAAAUUUAAUAACAAAAAUAUUACCUUGAGGAAGGAGAAGGACAGAAAGUGAUGACGUAAUCAGCACCGGAGCAAGUAAAAGUGCUUGUACCGUCGUCGUAAGCGUAACUAUAAGCCGUCGGACAAGCUUUCUUGAAGAAACCAGAGUACUCACUCGGCUUACACGUGUCCGGCGUUCCAAACGCGCCACUACAACAAAACUCCGGCGUUCCAAACGCCUCGCAAGCGCUCUUGCACGCUACAGCAGCCGUUCCCGCUUCAACUGUUACUUUCAGCUGUUCCGGACAUACGCCGUUAAGAUCCACCGCGCAACCCGUUGCGUUACACUUACCGACUCCAAUAGCUCCGCCGUGAGGGACGAUCGUCAUUGGGACGUUGUAGCCAUCGACGAGGCUGACGUCGAAGAAAUCGAGGUUUCCGUCGCCGUUGAGUGUGAACUCGGCUAAUGUAGCUGGAGGGAUUGCUCCUGCUCCGGAGCAUUCGAUUUGGGAUGAGCCACAGUCGCCGGUGACGCAAGUGAAUUUUCCGGUGUUCUCGUUUUGGUUGCAGAGCGUGCGUCCCCAUAUGCGGCCGGACCAAGCGGUGGGUAUGGAGAUGAGUCGUGACUCGGACGAGCUGAGGGAGAAACCGGUGGUUGGUAAUGGAGUGGUGCCGGCGCCGGAGAGAAGUCCAGGCCAGACGGUGUAGUUACACUGGUUAACGAUGGUGAAAGUGGUGGAGGAACCACCAUUGAUGAAAAACAGAAUCGCAAAGAGAAAGCAAGAGACUUUAGCCAAACCCAUUGUUCCCGUGAGAAUUGUGAUGUUGUAUGAUCAAUGAGAAGUUGGAGAUUAUGUUUAUAUAAGAGAAUUAGGGAUUAGGGAUUUGUGUAAUGGAAAGUUUCAUAAAAUCAACUUUUCCUAUACGAGUUUUGCCAAUGCAGAAUCAAAUACAUGUUCAUUGAUUCAUUUCCUUUUCUUUUUUUGGUAACUCAUUGAUUCAUGGAAAUUACGAAUUCAGUUAUUUUAUUUAUUUUCCUUUUUCAAAAUUUUACAUUUUAUAUUGUGAUGCUAUUUGUCGAGGAUCUUCCUAAAUUCAAAACUAGAAAAGGUUUAGAGGAGGAAAAGUUCUCUUUUGUUUGUUUAAGGAAAAAGUUCAAAAAAAUUUCAAGACUUUGAUGUAGGAAAGAGACAUGUAUUGAGUAGGUUAGAUGUAUGGUAAUUAGUGGGAUUACGUAUUAUUAUUAUUAGAGGAAAUAGAGGAGGUGUUGGCCUGUUGGGGGUUGGGUCAACAACAUUGUGACUUGGGAUAAGAUAAACAUGGUGGGAUACUAAUGUUUAAAUCCGAAAGAUUCAGUAGGAUUGUGCUAAUCACAAGUGUAAUUAGGUUAAAACUAACGGGAUUAACUUAAAUUUUUCUUUUUAAAACAUCAGGAUAGUAGUAGAGAAAGAGAAACCACGAACCGGUAUAAGAACUACAAGAUCACACCAUGUCUCUCCUCUGUUCAGGAGAUUCUCCUAAAACAAGAUCUAAGGAAACUGAAAUAUUAAAAGAGUCUUCUUAAGCUACUAUCUCUGUUUAAUCAAGAGCAAGAAAAUCAGCAAUGCAGAUUAUAUUAUGGAAACGACAAGUUAGCAAAAAGGACUCUCAAUCUUGGUAUAAAACAGAAGUGACCAUAUAAUGAAUUUUCAAGUCAUACAAGCACACUCAUUGUAAGGAAAAACAAGAAACUGCAACGAAGGAAAUCACACAUAUCAUUCAAGUCUCAAACUUAUGGCAUCAACAUCAACAAAAGCAGUGAACAGGUUUGCAAAAACCAGUCAAAAGAGUAAUAUAGAGAUCAAAAUCUCCCAAAACAACCAUUCGUAAACAUCCUAAACGACUUUAGCAAUCACAUUAUAGUCACCAAAACGGAGCUUAGGUAGAUUUAAUAGAGUAUAUGAACAUUACUCUUCUUUGCAUCUUUUUGUUAAGCAACCGAAGAACAUUCCCUAGCAAAGUGACCUUCCUUGCCGCAAUUGAAGCACUUGCCACUGCCACCGCCACCUCCACCUCCACCACCGCUGCUUCCGCUUCCUCUCCGAUCACAGUCACGAGCCAAAUGGCCAGUUUCUCCACAUUCGUAACAAGCACCACCAGAAGGUCUCUUGCUGGUGCAAACUCUCGCAAUGUGGCCAACUCCGCCACAUGUAUAACAUGUGUUUCCACCGCCGCCACCACCUCCAACGUUCCCACCACCAUUUUGCCUACAAUCCCUAGCGAAAUGUCCAACACCACCACACAGGUAGCAUCCAUCACUGCCAGAUCCACGACCACCACCUCCGUAUCUAUUCCCACCAGAACCACCACGACAAUCCUUUGCCAAAUGACCAACCUCUCCGCAACUAUAACACGGACCACCACCUCCUCCUCCACCACUGUUUCCACCGCCGCUUUGCCUACAAUCCCUAGCGAAGUGUCCCACAUCACCACACACGUAACAGGUACCUUCACCGCCAGAUCUACGACCACCACCACCUCCAUAGCUUCUCCCACCACCACCACCGUCACAAUCCUUAGCCAUAUGACCAACCUCACCGCAAUUAAAACAACUACCACCGUUUCCGCGGGAGCUAUUUUCCUUCUUAUUAAGAGAACCGCCGCCAGGAGCAGUAACAUUAACGGCCUUAGUCUUCCCGUCGCUUCCAAGCGUGAUUGAGUAUUCAACCGAUUCACCAACAGUUAAGCUACGGUAACCAUCGGAAACGAUUGAAGAUUGAUGAACAAAAAGCUCUUCGCCUCCAUCAUCGGGAGUAAUGAAACCGUAGCCUUUACCAUCGCCAAACCAAUUGACUUUUCCGAUAUAUCUCGCCGCCGAUUGAUCUUCCAUCGCCACUUGGAUCAGAGAAAAAGGUUGAGAAAAACUCGAAGCAGUUUGUUCGUACAGAGAGAGAAAACAAACCAAAAAAGGGUAAAAUGAAAACCCUAAAUUGCGAGAUCUAUAAUAUCGAUUUUGACCUUUAAUUCGCCACGUCAGCUUCCUUCUUUAUCGCCGGCAGUUACCGCGUGUGCAUUUUGAAUCAGGCCCAUGAUUCAACUUAUGAAUUGGGCUUUUGUUUUUUUGAUCAAAAAUGAAUUAGGCCUAUCUAUUUUAAGGAUUUCAAAAGAAAUAGCUAAGGUUUUGAUUUCAUACGAGCUCUUAAAAAUAAUGCCUUUGAGUUUUUAUCAAAAUAUGAAAAAUUCGUGGGAUGCAAAUGUUCCAGAACAUGGCAUGUGAUGUUGAUACAUAGAUUAUCAUGACGAGAAGAAAAGAAUCUUGUCUGUCGUAUUUGCUUAGCUAUUUUGGUUGCCCUAGUAAAAGCAUUUUAAAUUGACUAAAUAAUUAUCGUGAUAAACGUCAUGAUUCUUUAUUUUCUUAAACUCUGAAAUACAAAUACUGAACAAGAAAAUUGACAAAAACACUAACUCAUUGAAAUAUCGUUAUUUUAUAGUAUAUGUUUCACAAAAUAUUUCAUAAAAAUGAAAUGAUUAACCGAUACAUAACGAAAAUAUAGAACCUAGUUAAUUUUAACGUGGUAGAAUAAACAGCAGUACGUGUUGAUGGGUGAGUGAUAUUAGCACACUAAUUACCGGCUAAUCUCCCAGAUUUAGCAUUUACAAAUUACUAUUAAUCUCUGCGUUUGGGUCAACUCGACACACCGAGUCAACUCGCUACCAGCACUGAUCCGUUUCCCAAUUCCGUCCGCCGUAACUGCCGUAUCCAGCAGUUAACGGCCGGCUCCGUCGAAGAUUCCUCCGAUCAUAAACGGCGCGUUUCUCGGGAUCCGAAAGCGUGCAAUACGCCGCGUGGAUCUUCAUAAAAUCGUCCGCCGACGAGCUAUUCCGACUAUUUCCCGCUACAUCGGGAUGACAGAUCCUAGCUAAUCGUCGGUAAGCCGAUUUGAUCUCUUGACUAGUCGAGCCGACGGGAAUUUCAAGGAUCUCGUAGAGAGACGCGGUCGCUGAAAAUCGCUGCGGGAUUUGGCGUAAUCUCGGUGGAUCAUCGGCGCAGGUGUAGGAAGCGGUGGUUGCAGAAAGAGACGGCGAGAUCCGGGAAACAAUUGACGGUGGUGAAACAAGAGAGAACGGCGGAGAAGAAGAAGAAGAGAGAAAUGGAGUAGCGAAGAAACUUGAAGAAGAAGAGAGCAUUGUGAAACGACGGCGUUUUAUUUUUAUUUUUUGGUUACAGUUCCGAUUUGAUGCAGUGUGAUUUGAGGAAGGAGAUAAGAAAUUAGAGAGGCUUUAUUUUAUAGGGGAAGAAGUGAUUAGUACGUUUAACGUUUAACUAUAAAAGUUUCUCAAAUAUAAUAAUUUAAUAUUUUUUUAAUAAAUAAAUUAUUUAUUUAACUUUUAAUUAAUUAUAAAAAAACUUUAAUCAAUCAAAUAAUACCGAGUAUUGAAUACAGAAUUGUAAGAGAGAAAAUGAGAUAUAGUGUCUCAUUUGAGAAACUCCGAGACACUGUGUCUCAUUUUCUCUCUUACUUUUAAUUAUUUUUAUUUUUUAAAAAAAUUUUAGACACUAUUUAAGAAACCUCUGUCGGAGGUGCUUUAAACUUUUAAAUAAUUGAAGAUUUAGGCAGAUUUAAAAUAUAUUGUCCGGUUAAGCAAAGUCGAACCGGGUUGGGUCGGAUGGUUUUGGAAUCUUGGGAAGCUGAGUCAGACGAAAAGGCUUAUCCACAUUUGGAAAUAAUGGGAGAAGUAAGAUAAGAUUCAACGAACGAACGAACUUUGAGCAUAGUGGCAAUGAAGUUAUAAUUGUCAUCUACCAAACUUUUCUAUUUUCGGUAUCAUAUAACACAAACUUUUCUUGUUUUGGUAAAUCACGAAACUUUGGAUUAAUGUUAUCCAUAAGCGGGAUUAAUGUUACUUAUUAUCUUAAUUCUUAAUUAGAAAAAAUAAAAAAUUACCAAGUUGUAACUAAUUUGAAAUAUCACAAAUUGUUUUAAAUAUUAAUAAGAAAAAUGAAAAGUGAAAGGCAAAAUUUUGAUACGAAAAAGAUGUUUCAUAUUUUGAUACCAAAAGGUAAAUUUAUUUAAAAUUUCAGUAAUAAGUAUUUGAUAUUUAUAGAUUAAUUAAUAAAAAUUUCUGAACAUAUUUAUUUUUUAUUCUGCAUCUUUAUUUUUAACCAUUCUAUGUAUUUUAAAUAUACAUAAAAUGUAAAUAGACACUACAAAAUUAUGAUACAAUAUGUAUCUAUAUAUAUCUCAUACAAAUUGUUCAAGAAAGCGCUAGACGCUAAACGGACGGUGACCUAGCGCCUAGAACGCCUAAUCGGGGCCUAAGUGAUUUUAGGCGGUUUGUGCGUUUACAACAUAAAACAAUAGAAAUAUGAUACUAUAUAUACAAAUCAUAUAAACUACAACUAAAAAGAUAAAAAAAAAAAUCGUAAACAAAAAUUAGACAAAAAUAUUUCUUUAAUUCAUAGCAAACAACAUAAGAACGUUUAUAACAAUAUAUAGGGUCCCCAAUAUAAAUAGAGAUAAAAUUUAUAAAUAUAAAUUUAUGUGGUUAAAAAUUAGACAACUACACUAAAACGAAAUUCAUAGGCAGUGAGGCGGUUAUUUAGGCAUCGUCUGAACAUGUAGCGCCUAGUCGGAGCCUAAACGACCGUCUACACAGCUUUUUAGAACACUGUAAAAUAAUUAUAUGGACUUUCUAAAAUUGGUAUUUGUGUUUUACUAUAGUUUAGGCUUUAGAUGGAUAAAGCAUUCUACUAGCAAGUAGGUAAGAGUAUCAUGGUCCAGUUUUUCGAAAUUUUUCUUUUUGUAUGAGAUUUUAGUUUUUGUUUUGUUUUGCCAAGGCUCUCCCAUAAAUUAAGACGGGCCAAUAGACAUCUAGAUUUUUCAGAUCAAAUUAAUACAAACACCAAAGCAAAACGAAUCUAAUGGAUAAUUUGAUCAUCUCUACAAUGAAUCCGAUUUUUUUUUUAAAAAAUUCUUUAACUUCACCAAUAAUUACAUAAGUCUCAUUUUAUCUGAAAUGACAUGUUCACUCUCUUUUGAUGGUUAGUCAACUUAAACCUAAAUUGAUCAUUCAAACUUCUAAACACCAAAAAAGUAUGUACAAACAUGAUUUAGGCCUUUACAUGUGCCAUCUCUCUAACCCUAAUACCUAAAAAGCACUCUCCGCACACUUUUAAAACAAGCCAAAUGCAAUGCACUUUUCUAUUGAUGAUUAUAAUAUCUUCUUUUCGUUAGUUAAAUGUAUAAUUAUAAUGCACUUUUCUAUUGAUAAUUAUAAUUUCUAAACACCAAAAAUAGUAUAUAAACGUGGAUUGGCCUUUGCGUGUGCCAUCUCCCCUCAUUCCUAACUUCUUAAUAUAUAAAACACGCUAUUUAGUCUUGUCACAACUAUGAUAAAUACAAGCCUAAUGCAAUGCAUUUUACUAUUGAUAGAUAAUAACGAAUUUCUUCAUUUCCAGGUCAUAAUAAUCAAAGUUUUAGAAUUUAAGUCUACAACUACAUCUAGCUGCAAAUGACUAAAAAGCAAACUUUUUUUAUUAAAAACACUAUUUAACUUUUUUCUAUUCAUAACUUACAUAUGAAUAGACCUAUAAAAUUAUAAUGACAUCCAUAUAACAUUCAUAACACAUACCAAUUAACUCGGUCAUGAUUCACAAACGCGUGUUUACACACUCUGAUUGAUCAUCAGGUAUACACAAUACAAAAACUCAUCACUACAUUGUGCUAAUUGACUAUAUCGAUUCUUUUGCCGUUGCCUAUAAAUUUUUUAUGAAAAUAUGUUACAACAACACAUGAAAACACUGCAAUCCCCAGCUCUUUUUUUUUUUUUUCUAUAUAAGGGAUCAAAACUUUUCCAGACCUUUUAGAUUUGAUUCUCUUGUUAGUCCUCUCCAAAAUAUUGUAGAUUUUCUUAGACCUUGCGAGAAAUAAGGUAACCAGGAGGGCUUCUAACAUUUCUUGAUUUGAUACUUGCAGUUCUCAAAAGUCUACGAAACUCUUGGAGACUGAUUUUACCAUCAUUGUCAAUAUCUGCUUCUUCAAGAAGUGGCUCAAUGGACCCUUUCAAGCCAGUAUGCUACAAAAACAAAACAUACCAAAUAGAACUUUUUAGUAAUGUGACACUGAUUGAUUAAGAAGUAUAAAAUAUGCUGACCAUUCGAAGUUCCUCUGCUGUUAUAAAUCCAUCUCCAUCUAUGUCGAAUUUUUCAAAUGCUGCUCUUGAUCUCUGCUGCCACUUUUCGGAAUCGUGUUCCUCUAAUUGAUUUACGUGUAGUGCAGCCGCUACAAACUCCCCAAAGUCCACGAAUCCAUCUGUGUUGCUAUCAAUCUGUAGACAGCAAACACAAUUUAGAGAAUUUAGUUAAAUCAUCUCAUCGUCAUUAGUACUAACUUAAAUUAUAUACAUACCGCUUGAAGAAUCUCGGCAACUCGUGCAUCCUUAAGCUUCCAAGGAUGAUCUUUCGCCAGAGCCUAUAGAAAACAAGAACUGAUGUUAGGUUUAGUAUUUGCUGAUCACGUUAGGUAGUGAUUGAGGUAUAGUUUUGUCUACAUUUUACCUGCCUCAUCUCUUCAAGGCUAAUGGCGCCAUUCUUGUCAACAUCAAUCGCAUCGAACUGGUCUCUAAGAUCAGCCAACUCUUCUUCAUCAAGCGUCGUUGCAAGAGCCUAGACCCGGAAAAAACAACUCAGGUAAUAACAACAAAAAGAAAAAAACACAUAAGAACCUCAAAUGAAACACAGAUCUCUCUUCUUGAUUACCCUUAGAGCGAAUUGCUUGAGGCGGCUAAAUUUCACAAACUGACGCAUGUUAUUAAGGACAGAUAUGUCUAUAGGAAUCUCAGAUGCAUCUCCUCCUUCUCUAACCCAUGGAUGUGCUGCAACCAAGAAAAAAUCCACAAUCCUUAAAGAAAGAUCAGAAGAGAUAAGAACAAAAUGAUGCAAAGUGGCGUCAAAAUGCUUACAUAGUGCUUGCGCAGCAGUUAAUCGCGCUCUCGGAUCUUUUACUAACAACUUCUUAACAAAAUCUUUGGCGCUGUUGCUAAUGGUUGGCCACGGUUUUCUUCUGAAAUCAGGUUUGUUCUUCAAGACCUAUGUUUAUAAACACAUCUUCGUGAUUAGAGAUUUAUGAUUUCUGAUGGAUUUUUACUUCAGGGAAACUACACAAACCUCCUUGAAGAUACCGUCUUCAGUCUUAUCCCAGAAUGGUCGUCUCCCGCAGAGAAGAAUGUAACUGAUUACACCGAUACUCCACACAUCUGAUUCGGGUCCCGACCUGCGUUUCAACACUUCAGGUGCUACAUAGUAUGCGCUCCCAACGAUAUCAUGAAACUUUUUGCCUACAUUGUUACAUAAUGGUUAGAUCAAAGAAGUGAUAUGUGAAGACAACUUUGAAUCACAUUGCUACUAACCUGGCUUUAUGAAGUCUGAUAAACCGAAAUCUGUAGCUUUUAGAGGCGAAUCUUCUUCGGUUGAUUUGAACAGAAAAUUCUGCUUGAGAAGAUGAUUAGUAAAAAACAAUACUUGUGAAUAAAACCAACUAAACAUUCAGAAACAUGGUGAUGAAGUAAUUAACUACCUCUGGUUUCAUAUCUCGGUGAACCAAACCGCGCAAAUGACACUCAGCCGCAACUUUCAGCAUUUGUCUCACUACCACGGCCGCGUCUCUCUCGCUAUAACGGCUAUCUUUCCUGUAAAAACGCAACAACAAUAGUUUAGUUACUCAAAAGUAAUAAGACUCUAAAAUUUCAGCAACACACAAAUAAACGUAUUACUAAAGUUACCUGGCUAAUAUCCGAUCAAGUAAUUCACCACCCUCGCAUAACCUAGAGAACAAUAUAUAUCAUUAGCAACAGAAGUUUGCACUUUGUCUUUCUUGCAUCACAAGGAAAAAAAAAACACACGACCUAAAGGCUUUUUACUUACUCCAUAACUAUAUAAACAGAGUUCUUGUCCUCGAAGGCAUUAUAAAACCGAACCACAUUUUCAUGACCAGUCAAAGCUUGUAGUAUCUUCACCUCUCUCUUUACAUCUUCCACAGCUAUCGGAAUUGUCAUCUACCCAACAAAUCAAAUCCAUCGGUUAGCUCAAAAAACACAACAAUCCAAUAUUUUUAAUUUAACAUACCAAUUAAUUUGUCAAAAAAACAAUUCCAAGAAUCUUAAAUAAAAUACAAUUCUAUGAUUAGAAAGAGAGAAUCUUCAAGAAUUAUUGAUUCAUCAUACCUUGGCCUUAUCGAUCUUCUUGACCGCGACACGAUCAUCGGUUUUUUUAUCGGUAGCGACAUAUGUAUAACCAAAUUGACCAUGUCCAAGCAAAUUUCCAAUGGUGUAACGGUGAUCAAAAUCUUUAGCGUACCCGAAAUCGAUACGCUUACCGUAGGGGAUCGCUUCUCCAUGUCUCCUACCGUUAUUGCUAAUAACUUUCUCUCUCCCUCUCCCGUGCGGUGGCGUUUGCCGCGUCGGCGUUUUCUUAGCCGCCGCAUUGCGUCGCGGUUGCGUCCUAUGAUCCUUUUGGAUCGUAACCGCCAUGAAAGAACAUGGAGAUUGCGGUGGUCUGGUUUUAGCCACCGUGAGAGGAGGAUGGUGGUUAGGAUUCCGGCUACUGCGGUUGUGGCCGGAGGAGAAACAGAGACCCAUGAGUUUUGUGGGAUUUCGGUUUCUUAGACCCUAUGCAAUGACAAUGAGGAUGUUUUCUUAGGGGAUUUGUGAGGCAUUAAUGAAUAGAAAAUGAUGUCGCCAGCAUUGCCAGAGGGAGAGAGAGAGAUAUGGAGAAGGAGAAGCUUCGAUAUGCGUUGUGUCAAGAAAUAGACUUUUCUCGGGUGAACAUUUUUUUUUUUUUUCCAUUUAGCAACAUAUAGAAAAUUAUAUGUUGACACGUUAUAGAAAAUUUGAGAACUAUAGAAAACUAUAGAAAAUUUGAGAAUUUUACGUUAUAUAGUAUUCAAAUUAAAUUAUCAAAACAUAAAAUUAAUUAAUGAAUAAAUGGAUCGCUGAUAUGUCCAAGUAAAUGUAAACAAGCAUAUUCCUACGAUAAAACAUCGAAAAUGAUAUUGUCUCUCUAGCGCCAUGUUUCGAAGAAGGAGAUCUGAUUACUCCUAUCUCCUCUUUGCCCUCAAAUGUUCUGCUAGUUGUUUCCAUCCACUACAACUAAACCAGCAGGUUAUGAUCGACUCCACACUAAACCUCUCUACUUUAAGGCUGACUUCACAUCUCCAGUAGUACAUCACCAGCUCAAGAUGUCUCUAUUUCAGAAAAUAUGGGUAUCAUCCUCCCCAACACAGCCAUUUCCGAGGCUGGAACGAAGUUGUCAGAAACUGCAUCACUAGUUGAUUCCACUCUCACUUUAGGGGAAUUGUCCCUUCCUGUUUCAUCUAAUGUUAUUUCUACACCACAAGGUGAUACCACAUCAUUGGAAGUGACAUUAGUUGCAACUGAUGUUGCGGAUAUGGUUUAAGUGUGUGUAGGACAUUAGAACAUGAAGCAAUGUUUGAAAAUGAUGACUGUAACUUUUAGGGAACAUGAUCCGACUUAAUUAUGACUCUAGAUGAAGAUCUAGUGAACACAUCUGUCAUGAGAACCCAAUCAGGUCGAACAGUCAAAUCUACACAAAAGUUGCAAGAGAAUGAAUUGACAAUUGUUAAAGGACGAGGACGACACGGUCGUGGAGAUUGUGGUAGAAACUCUGCUUAACCCUCAUCUUUUGCUCUUUUUAUAGUUUCAUGCUUUGAAACAUUUUAUUUCAUAAUCUCAUAUGUUUGUAUGCAAAUGUAUGCUCAAUCUUCUCCUUUUCCACUCUCUAAAAAUUGUAUGAUCUCAAGUCAUAGUUGUAAAAAAAAAAAAAAAAGGUCAUAGUUGUAAUAUUUAUGUUAUUUCAAUUGCAAACCCUUUAUAAAAAAAAAAAACAAAAAAUAGAGUAAUGCAGUUGGAUUUUAGCUUAUAUUAUUUGAAUUGUACAUACAAAAUAACUAUAUGGAAAAAUUCUAAUGUGUGUGUGCGUUAUUUGCAUUAUUUUUGCGGUGCUUUUUAUCGUCCCGCGAGUUGCGAGACAUGUCUUAUAUUUCCUAUAACGAAAUAAUAGUUUGGAUUUGAAGUUUUCACCUAGGAAGCACGGAAGCUUCGUCCGAGGUCCGCUCCCCGCUUCAGAAUCUUAGUCGGAAUCGGAAGCUUUCAGAAUCCCGCUUUCGAGAAACGUCAGUUUGAUGAUGUUUUAUCGGUAAAACAAAAUUUAAAACAAUUUUAUUUGAUGAAAUUAGUAAAAGGAGAAUGAAGAUAAUGAUCUUAAAUUUAUGACUUUGAACUAUUUGACUUUUCUUUAUUGUAAACAUACACUAUUUGAUUUUUAAAUAUAGUUCAGGUAUUUAAAAUUUAUGUAUUAGAUUUGUGUGUUAAUUAUAUAAUUUUUAUAUGAGAUAAUGUUUAAUUUUUAUUAUAUAUGUAUGUGUGUAUAUAUAGAUAUAUAAAAUAUUAAUAUUAAUUUUUAUAUACGCUUCCAACACGUACCCACUUUCUAUAAUCAUAUAUUUAAAAGUUGGCCAACUCUCUCCAUAUGAGUGCCACAUCAUCACAUAAGAAAAUGACAUGUGUCCGUCUACAUUAUUUAAAUAAAAAAUGAACCAAAUUAAAUGAGAAAAAAAAAAUAGUUCUUCACAUUAAAUCAUCCAUCAAUCCUAUUCUUAACUUAUUUCUUUAAAAUAAAAAAAAAUUAGAAAAUUGUAUUACUAAAUCAAGCACUACUUUCAUUGUUCUCAUCUUAUUUUACAAUUUUUUUUUUAUCAAGAGUCGCUAUUCGAUAAUAACUGAAAAUUUAUUUGUGUUGUAAUUUAGUAGUUUGCUACCUAACUUUUUAUUAGUUUAGUAAUUUUACCUUGAGUGUGUUCUCGUUGUUACGUUUUGUGGUUCAUAUACGACUUUUCAUAUGACCAAAAUGGGUCUUUUCAUUUUUGUGCUUUAUUAUAAUUUAGUUACAUUUACAUGCAAGUUUUUUAAGAAUGGGUCUUUGAGACGUUAGGUAUACCAAAAAAUUCAAGACACGACAAUUUCUCUCUUAUAUAGCUAUAUGCAAUGGGAAAAAAAAAAGCUAUAUGCAAUGGCAGAAGAUGUAAAAAGUGUUGACUUAAAAUGAGAAUGUAGUUUUCGUCUUUUUUCUUCUUUUUAUAUGAAAAUUAUUGAGAUCUUGUUCAACUUAUAUCAAUCCAGUAAUUAAUUAUGAGUCUAUCACGAUAUGGCUGGAGUAGUAGAUCAUGAGAGUACAUAAAACAAAGAAUUGCUUAAUUAUGAUCAAGUCACGCAAGUUUCAAAUCAUACUAGUAACAUAAUUACAUAUAAUUAUAUCAAAUAUCUUAUAUUGUUGUUGUAUUUAUUCAUAAUAGUGAAAAAAGUAUCUUAGAUAUAUAAAUAAUCUUAGAGAAAUUGUUAAAAAUGCUCCUUUUUCAAUACCCCUUUACAAAAAUGCCUCUUUUGAGAGUCCAUUUUUAAGUUUGCCCUCUUUUAAUUUUUAAUGACCAUUUUACCCUUAUUUGAAACAAAAUUAGGUCCACAAAAUACAAAAUAUUUUUUGGCGGGAAAAGUGAUCCCGCAAUUUUCUCGCCAAAACACUUGUAAAAACCUUUAAAAUACAUUAUAAAAUUUUCCCGUAAAAAUUUUUCCCGCCAAAAAAUUUUCCCGCCAAAAAUUUUUUUUUGCGGGAAAAGUGAUUCCGCAAUUUUUUUGCCGAAAUUUUUUUGGCGGGAAAAAUUUACAAGGUAUUUUAAAGGUUUUACGGAGUAUUUACAAGUGUUUUGUAAGGUUUUACAAUGUAUUUUAAAAGGUUUUACAAGGUACUUAUAAGGUUUUAUAAGGUAUUUAUAACUUGUAAAACCUUAUAAAAAACUUGUAAAACCUUAUAACUUGUAAAACCUUAUAAAAUAGCUUGUAAAAUCUUAUAAUAUCUUAUAAAUACUUUAUAAAUACGCUGUAAAACCUUUUAAAAUACAUUGUAAAACCUUAUAAAUACCCUGUAAAAACCCUUUAAAAUACCUUGUAAAUUUUUCCCGCCAAAAAUUUAACGCCAAAAAAUUUGCGGAAUCACUUUUCCCGCAAAAAAAAUUUUUUGGCGGGAAAAUUUUUUGGCGGGAAAAAAUUUUACGGGAAAAUUUUACAAGGUAUUUUAAAGGUUUUACAAAUUUUUACAAGUAUUUUGGCGGGAAAAAUUGGGGGAUCACUUUUCCCGCCAAAAAAUAUUUUGUAUUUUGUGGACCUAAUUUUGUUAUAUUUCCUUAUAUAUUUAUGAUAUCUUUUAUUAAAAGAAGGGUAAUUUAGUCAUUUUGUACAUAAAAGGGGUAUUUUUAAAAAUGGACAUCCCAAGGGGGCAUUUUUGAAAAGGGGUAUUGAAAAAGGAGCAUUUUUGUGAGUCUCUCAUAAUCUUAUUUAUACAUGAAAAUGUAUAAAUUGAUAUUUUAAGUCAAAAAUGAAUUUAAACAUAAAAAUUGUAACUACAUAAGAUGGAUCUGAAUUUUAUUAACUAUACAAUAACAGAAAAAAACAUAAAUUAGUAACAAAACAAUCAACAUCAGUUUUUCUUAACAAUUUUCAAAACAAACCCACGCGUAGCGUGGAUAUUCAUCUAGUUUCUAUAAAACUUGUUUCCACGUUUCUAAACGCUUCGCUUCCGCGUAGCCGCUUCUGAUUCCAUGCAACCUAGGUUUUCACAUAUGCUUUAGAUAUGUUUUAUGACACGAAAAGUCUAAUCCUCUUUAGGGUACAUUCAAAGUUCUCUCGAAAAAUAUAACCGUAAUAUUUCUAUAUUAUAAUAAUUAUGUGCAAAUCGUCUCUUGGAAAUUCUUAAUUAAGAAUUAUAUUUCUAUAUUAUAUAAUUGUGUUUGAAAUUUUCCAUUUGAAUUUCUUUUUACAUAGUCUCGAAAAAUAUAUGCACAUAAAAAACAAAAAAAGUAACCUUUCAUAAAUUCUAAUGAGAUGAGAUGUAAUUAUUUAUUAAAUUAAAUAUCAAAAGAGUUAGUAAAUACGAAUAGAUCUGGGGUAUUUUGUAAAUAACAAAAGAUAUGAAGAAUUAUUUUCUGUAAAUACGGUUUGAUAAUAAUUAAACAUAAUUCAAAUAGAAAAAAAAAUUAAAAAAUUAACAACUGUUUCAAUAUAUUUUCAGUUUCAAUAGAUUUAAGAUUUAAAAGACAGUUAAUUGAAAAUACAUUUAUUUUGAUAAUAAAGUAAAUUGUUAAAAGUUGUUCAAACAAUCAAACAGAGUUUUCUCAUACUUUAAUAAAAACUAAUAAUCUACAUUCCAAACUGUUAAUAAUGAUUACAGUUCAGUAUCCUCAAAACUGCCCCAAUUAUCAAAUCUGUUAGUAUUUUCAACUGAUUUGCUAAACUGCAACACAUCUAGUUAUAUCAUUGCCCCAAGGAUUUUUUUGUAUUUACGAAACUUCCACAUAUCAUUUUGUAUUUACGAAAUUGCCUCACAAUUUUGGUAUUCACAAAAAUACCCAUAUCUUUUGCAAAUUACAAAAUUUCCCCACACCUUUUGCUAAUUACGAAGUUGCCCCUCAUCUUUUCCUAAUUACGAAGUUUCCUCACAUCUUUUGCUAAUUACGAAAUUGCCCCACAUCUUUUUAUAUUUACGAAAUUGUCCCACAUCUUUCGUAAAUUACGCAAUUGCCCCAUACCAUUUGCUAUUUACGAAGUUACCCCACAUUUUUCUAAUUACGAAGUUGCACCACAUCUUUUGCUAAUUACGAAAUUGCCCCACAUCUUGUGCUAAUUACGAAAUUGCCCCACAUCUUUUGAUAUUUACGAAAUUGCCCCACACCUUUUGCUAAUUACGAAAUUGCCCCACAUCUUUUGAUAUUUUCGAAAUUGCCACAUAUCUUUCAUAAAUUACGAAAUUGCCCCACACCUUUUGCUAAUUACGAUUUGCCCCACAUCUUUUCCUAAUUACGAAAUUACCCCACAGCUUUUGCUAAUUACGAAAUUGCCCCACAUCUUUUGAUAUUUACGAAAUUGCCCCAUAUCUUUCAUAAAUUACGAAAUUGCCCCUAUCUUUCGUAAAUUACGAAUUGCCCCACAUCUUUUGCUAAUUACGAAGUUGUCUCAUAUCUUUCGUAAACUACAAAAUUGCCCCACAUCUGUUCCUAAUUACGAAGUUGCCCCACAUAUCUUGAUAUUUACGAAAUUGCCCCAUAUCUUUCGUAAAUUACGAAAUUGCCCCACAUCUUUUCCUAAUUACGAAGUUGCCCCACAUCUUUGGAUAUUUACGAAAUUGCCCUAUAUCUUUUGUAAAUGACGAAAUUGCCCCAUAUCUUUUGCGAUUUACGAAGUUGCAUCUUUGCUAAUUACGAAAUUGCCUCACAUCUUUUGAUAUUUUCGAAAUUGCCCCAUAUCUUUCAUAAAUUUACGAGAUUGCCCCCACACCUUUUUCUAAUUACGAAUUUGCCCCACAUCUUUUCGUAAUUAUGAAGUUGCCCCAAUGCUUUUCCUAAUUACGAAGUUGCCCCACAUCUUUUGAUAUUUACGAAAUUGCCCCAUAUCUUUCAAUAUUUACGAAAUUGCCCCAUAUCUUUUGAUAUUUACGAAAUUGCCCCAUAUCUUUUGAUAUUUACGAAGUUGCCCCACAUCUUUUGAUAUUUACGAAGUUGCCCCACAUCUUUUGAUAUUUACGAAAUUGCCCCAUAUCUUUCGGAAAUUACGAAUUGCCCCACACCUUUUGCUAAUUACGAGUUACCCCACAUCUUUUACUAAUUACGGAAUUGCCCCACAUCUUUUGAUAUCGAAAUUGCAGAUCUUAUGAUAUUUACGAAAUUUCGCCAGAGCUUUUGUUAAAUACGUUCUCUGCAUCUUUUUGUACUGGUCUAGACACGUGCAAGCGUUUCUUUUUAGCAUUUGAAAGAGUUCUUCCUGGCUUUCUUUUUCUUCCUGAACCAACCAAAUUAUAUUAGAUCAAAUAGAAAAUAUCAUUUUUAUCAAGUAGCUCUAGAAUUUCUAAAGCCAAUUCAAUUUAGUCAAGAUUUGUAGAGAGUAGAGAAAGCGAUUCAUGAGUACAAGAGUAAGAUCAAAGUUGCUAGUUGUCAUCAUUAUAAGCGUUUUUCAAUGCAAGCAAGCUUAUAAGAAGCUUCUGCCCGAGCUUCCUCCAACUUUGCUGAGAGCUCUUUCAUGAAAGGUGUGCUUGUCCCGUGGCUGAUCCGCAGAAUGUCAAAUGCCUUAAUUAGUGAACUCACCGCCUCUUUGGUUUCCCCCAGUAACCUGCAACAUAACAAUUAUGCAUUUUUAUCCGCAGAGGCGCAGAAUAUGAUGGUAACCGACGCCAAGUUAUUGCACUCAGACUCAGAUUAACGUAGAAAGUUUAUAUGAAUGAUAAUUUUCUACAGGCACACGAUGAAUCAAUGUUUCUUUCCACAGGGAUUCUAACUCAGGGAUAUCCAAUUUGAAGGCUUUGAGCCAAGUUCCGCCUACCACUACUAGCCAAUCUCUACGUGUUCCCUGACUGAAAAAGUCACGUAGAAUAAGAGUCUCUAACACUGAGAACAUGUAGAGGAAUGGCAGCUUUGAUAGUUGAGGGAAAACAAAAGUUAUAUUUGGUCCUAACGAUUUUGACAGGAGAAUUAAAUAGAUUGUUAUAGAGCAUAAAUCUGUCUUCAAAUUCUAUUUCAGUUUCCGCAGCUCAAAAUCUAAUCAAAAUAUUAACUAAGGAUGCUUUGAUACCAUUCGAGUUUUCCCUGGGUAUAGAACUGCAGUCCAAUCAAAGGAUGGGUUGCUGGAUAUACUCCUGCAAUUUUAUUGACAAAGUAAGCACAAGUUAUAACCACUAAAAGAAUUUGAAUGAUUUUACAAUUAUUAUAUAGAUGUUUCUGUUCAAGGUGUAAUUAGCAAUUAGCAGCCAUUAGUUCUAGUAAACAGUUAGCUCUGAUACUGUACGCAAUAAGUUCCUAUGGUAAUUAUAAGUAAAUGUACCUAUACAAAACAAGUAAGAGCUUCCAAGUUAUGUUCAAAAUAUAAAUCCCACACCUGGCUAGAUCUAUAUACUAGAAGUCUGGUCAUUGAUAAAAGGUAUCCUAAAGAAAAGAAAAAUAUUGAUCAAACAUGCGUCAAGGAGCAAUGUAAUAAUCAAGAUGAAGUAGACAUACUUUGGUAAACAGGGACUAUGAGUCUGCAGUAAUUCAAAGCUUCUCUCCAGAUUUCUAAGUCCAUUAGCAUCUGCAAAGGAAUGUGUAACGGCAAGCUUUGAGAAACCACAUUUGUCUCGUCUUUUCAAACCUCAGUACAACUUCCAAAAGUCCAAAACCUUCUUUCCAAAAGAAACGUACCUUGAGAAGUUUUUCACGGGUUCUCAUUAAAGUGAUGGAGAAAGAAUGGUAAAGCUUAACUUGUAGUUUCUCAAUUGUCUUAUAUAGUUCAAUAGCGGCUUGUUUAUCUGAAAAUGGUCAAAAGAUUCUCUCAGACAACUUGUAACACAGCUAAAUGUAACCAAGAUCAGUUAAUCUUGUUCAGACAUAUAAACGCAGGUAUUGGGGAAGCAAAACAGGCAAGAAUUACUUUCUGCGGAAGGAGAUGCAUGAGCCUUCUCUGAAACUGUCUUGAGAUCACUUGCUAACUUUUUAACCUCUUCCUUGCUCCUAAGAAGCAAGCAUUUCUGGCAAACAAAGCCUUUUUCUUCUGCAAAAGUAAACAAAUGAGGAUUGGAGGGAUCAAAAAAUUUCUUGGAGACAAACUACGUAGUUAAAUCUUAACAUACCAGGAUCACGGAGUAAGAAACCAGUGCAUUUCUCAUUGGAACACCGAUAGCCUUCCAAUAUUGCACUUUCUUCAAUAUCAUGAGGUUUUCCCUUAGAUAUGAAAAAUGUUGGUACAGGUUGUAAGAAAUCUAGAAUAUUGAGUGGUCAAGUGCAAACUCCAUUCGUUGAUAAGUGGGGGGGAGAAUCAUUACUACUUACAACGUUACUGCAACGGGCACACUGACAAUGGAAGAGGUAUUGUUCUUUCAGAGACUUCUGCCGAGUCAGAGUGCUUCCCGCGGUUUCAAUAUAGCUGAUAGUUAUCUGACCAAAGACAAAGGAUCUAACAGCUAUAUGUCAGUGUGCUACUAGCAUAUACAAAAGACUCGAGAUGAAACAAAGCAGAAACUACCUCUGAAUCCUUUGAUAUGUUAUCCAUCGCCCGAACAACAGCCAUCUGCUCCUCAAACACUAAAACCGCAUUGGGAGAGCAGCUACAAAGCAAAAGAUUUAGGCAGGAAGCAAAGUGAUUAAAGAACACAAAGAAAAAGCAUUUACCUGUGAUUAAUGAUGGAAACCAAUGGAAACAAUCCUAUCCCUUGAGGUCUCAAUUCGCUGUCACAAAUGCUAUGAGCAUUGCAUGAGAACUGUGUUCAGUAGAAAUGAAAGUGGCUUAAGUAAUUAUCCCCAAAAACCAUUCCAAAUAAAGACGAGUACAAAAAAUUAUCCCAGUUAGCCCAAUGGAUACUUGAUACUCCUCAAAUUAAACGAGGCCACAUCACCAACCUAUCUAUAUAAUAAUAGUAAAUCAAAAAAAUUUCCUAAUACAAAAAAAGGAAAACUAUCAACUGCAGCUUGCAGGAAGACAGCUCAGUUUGUGUCAAGCUCACACUAGAAGAACAGAAAAAAAAAAAAAAAGCGCAGGUGUAGAACCUUUGAGAAGUUCUCGGCGAUCUCUCUUAGGUCAACACUAGGAAAUUGAAGAAUCAAGUUCACAAGAUUAGCCAUCUGUGCAUACAACAACAUCUGCUUUUCAUCAAUCUCAGACAUGUCUACCAAAUGAAGGUUAAAGAAGACAAAAGAAUACACAUUUCUAGGGGUAAUGAGAGAUCAUCAAUUUCACAAAACUAUAAAACCCAAAUAGGAAGGAUACGGGACACCAAAGCCUCCACCAAACUAUAAUUGUCUGUUGACGUAAUUGGCAGGACCUGGACAAGAUAAAUACAUUAAAAAUUAAGGAAACAUAGACUUCUAUCAAAAUGAAACAAAGCACCAAUGAAUCAGCCAAAACAAGGAUAUAAUCUAGACUUCUUCUCCACAUCUCAACACAAAGAACCAAAGCACCAAACAAACGAUAAGCUAUCAAACGUGAAUGCAAGCAACAUCACUCAUAGCUGAUGAUAACCUUUUCAUUUUGCAAAUUCCUCUUGAUGUAAAGUUUAACCAUCAGACGUAUUGUAGGAGUAACAAACUUCCGUUUCUCCUUCUCAAGCCUAGUAAGAGCUUUGCAUUCAUGUCGAUGUAACUUCCACUCUGACUUCUGAAAAAUAAUCAAAAACAAACAACAAAUCUUAAUCAACCAUCAAUUGAAUUUCUACAGAGAGGACUCAUAUCAAUUAUACCUGGCAAAAACUCCCACAGUACCAAACCACUUGACAACCAGAACAUUUCUUAAGGUUAUUGGUCUUGAAACAUCCGUCACACCUUGAUUCCAAUGAUGUAUUAUUCGGAACACAAAUAUAUGGCUUUUGGCUUAGAAUCACUUCUCCUGGAAGAAACACAUGACUGAGAUUAGUCUCAGACGAACAAAAGCACUGUUCCAACGAAACCCUAAACCGGCACAAGAGAGACGAACCUGGACGAAUAUCUCUGGUAGUGAAUAGAGAGCGGCCUUUGUGUGGGAGAUUCGAAACGCUUAAGCAGCGAUCUUGUAGAAAUCUCUGCAAAUCCGCCAUUAGUGAAGCUUCCAUUGGAACUUACGAGGGGUUUCGAGAACAACGGUCACUUUGAAUUUGAGUCUUAAUCAAUUCUGAGAUUUACAACAAAUUAGGGUUUUUUUUCUUUCUUUUCCGGAGAUUUGAUUAGUUGCAUUUAGAUCCCUUUUCUAAUUUAUGGAGUUUUCCACAAUUUGACGGAAAUUUGAUUAGUUGCAUUUAGAUCCAUUUUUUUAUUUAUACACUACUUACACUUCGAUCCCCUUUUUCUUAUUUAUACAACAAUUUGACGGAAGUUUGAUUAGUUACAUUUAGAUCCCUUUUCUAAUUUCCAUUUCUAUUUUCAGUCAUCAUUUUAAAUUUUGCAGAAGCUUAUGUAUGGUUAACAAUUGAAAAAUCAUUGAAACUUUAAAAGCUCUUUGUCCUCUUCAUCGUUGGAAGUUAAAAAAAAAACGCAUAAUAUUAACGUUCGAAUGGUUCAAAACUACAUGUAUAUAACACAGAAAUUAAAAAUACAUAAAAAGGUUACAUAUUUACAACCCUAAUGAGUAAUGUUAGCUUCCAUUAAAUUAAAACCACUGAAACUCAAAUUGUAAAGUAACUAUUUUGAAGUUAGAACCAAGGAUGCCAUGUUGGAUCCAUCAUACAUAAGUUGCGAGGCGACAAGGCUGCCUCUACUAACUCGUUCACUCCUCUUUGCACCGACUGUGGCGGCUCCACCGUAUUCUCAUCCUACAAAAACAAAUCCAUCAAUAUGUUUGAUCUUAUAGGAUGAUGAUGAUGAUGAUGAUGAUGAUGAUGAUGUAUGUACCUCUUCGGAAAAGUACUGUGGGGCUAUUCCUCUGAUCCGGCCAAUGACAUCUUCCACAUUGGCGUUAACUUUGUGCUUCAGCUCAGCUGAGUUCAAUGUAGCAAUUCCUCCAACAGGAGGAAUCGGCACACCAAGAGGUCUUCUUCCAAACCAAGACAGCAAUUCAUCACGGAAGAACAUAGCAAGUUGAUACCGUAGAUGUUCGUUUUGCUGAAAAUUUUGCAAGACAAUAGAGAAACAUAGAUCAAUCAAUGGCUUGUUGCAUCCCUUAGUUAUUAGGUAUAUAUUUUUUGAAUUAUCCCUUUACCUUGGAGGAGAUUACUGCUUGAGCUGCUGAACACAUGGAUGACAUGAGGAGACCUUCGACUCCAAACUGAGAGAAGAAUGCUUGCAUGUUCCUUGUGAGGCGGAAAGGCACGGGUUCGUUGAAUUCGAUCAUCCCAUUGGCAUCGUAAGCAGGGUGAAAAUCUGUCUGGAACAUUUUCCCAGUGUUUUUUGCAAACAAGACCUUGUUUGGGGAUCUCCCACCGAUUUGUAGCAUGAAGGACAUAAAACUGGAGACAGCUAGCUGGACUGCAAAUUGUUUCUUGAAAGCCCACAUAUGGCUUCCGCUCAUCAACGUCUUGUACAUGUACUGAGAGAAGAUACUGUCAUUGACCAAGGUUUUUGUGAUGUCAAUAUAUGCCUGCAGACGAAGAUCUCCUAUUGCCUCUGCUGAUAUUUGCCCUGAUAUAGCUUGAUUGAGUUGUUCCUUAAAGUGGGUGAUUGGAAGAUCUGCUUCGCGGUCAUUUCGUACACAGUGAUUCUCAUACACCUCAAGGAAAGUGUUGUACAUUAGAUCAUCCUCAACCAUCCGGACCUGAAACCAAAUAUGUUUGUUAAAACCAAUACUCCUCCAAUGAAACAUCAAAUCUGAAUUCAUGGUAUAAAAAUCACCUGAGACCAGACAGGAAUGAUGAUUGGAGUGUGAAUUCCAAUGUGUCGUCUUCUUGAUUCCUUAUGCUUAUCAAACAUUUGGUUCAUCACACGGAAAAGCUGCAAGAUCCGUUCAUCACUUCUAGCAUUAGGCGUCAAUGAUGUCUGGACUAUAAAGUGCUUUUGCGAGCCAUCUGAGCCAAUAAGAGUCAACCGCCUGAAGCUGCUUCCAUGCCUUCGAACAAUCGGAACGUCAGCUCCAACCCUAUCCAACUUUACUGUAUGAUCAGGUGCUACUUCCUGGAUAAUUGAGCAUAAUUAUUUUCACAAUCAAAUAGGGGAAAAAAUGUUCCAUUAGAAGACUAAAUUAAGUGCAAGGGAAUAGUAGUUCAAAUUUCCAGACUUAAUAGUUAAUUCUACCUGGUCAGCAAAGUACUGCCCUGGUAUCUCCACAUCAACAACAUUGAAGUCACGCAAAACCCUACUCUCAUCUUCCAAUCUUAACACAGCCGGAAACCUGUCUUCAACAUUGCUCUGAAGAAUAUUUUUCCACUUUUUCAGUCGCGUCGUCAGCUCAGCGAGUGUGGUAGGGAAUGUAGUUGUGCUUUCUGGAUCAAGGUGACGCUCAAAAUCCUGUUUGUACUCUUUCACAAAUUCGACAUGCUUGGUUACAGCAUCUGCCGAGAAACAAGCUCUGCAGACACCCGACAGUUCUUUUUUUAGUGGUUGGGGAACCUCGGCAGUUGUAGCAGUUGGAUACUUGUAACAACGAUGCAACAGAGCAUUCACAACUGCCAGCAGUCUUUCUUCCGGUAAUGUAACAAAUCUCGAACCUAUUUCCGUGAGAAGAACCUGAAAAGUUAGAUUACUUACUUAGAUCAUCCAACGAAAGAGGUAAGAACCUGCUCAGAGUCUAAUUGAUGCUAUAUCCUUCUUCCCAAUAGUGCGUUGUAUAUUCACUAUUCAGGAUUUAUCUUUACUAUGACAAUUGUAUGUAGUUAGAGCAAAUUUUAGGAAUAUGGUUGAUAUAUACAGAAAAAAGUAUCACCUCGAGUUCACUGGCUAAGUUGUUAUGUUUACCCCUAAGAGCCUCCAUGAUAUCCUUGGCAGCGUCGAAAGCACCUGCAGCAGAGAUUGCCAAGGAUGCACCAUUCCGUCUCACUGUGUUUUCAUUGUUAUCAUUGAUAGCGGAGCUGCUUUGGUGCAUAGGUUGAUCACUACCGGGAUGGACAUUAUUUUCCGCAGUGGAGCGUUCACUUUCUUGCCCAUGUGGGUUACCACUGUCAUGUGUUCCACCAGCCCCGCUAAUUUGAGCGCCUCGAUGGAUUUGAGUUUCCGAUGGUAAAUUGCUUCCACCAUGACCUGCACUUGCACCAGUGGCAUUUUGUUGCAUUCUUUGAGCCAAAACCAAUCUGCCAAUUUCGGAUUUGUUUACUGCAUCACGUCGUUCCAGCAAGUAUGUGCGCAACCAGUAAUAGAGAGCCUGAAAAUCGCCACAUACUCAGAUAAAAUAAUCAUAAUGCAUGAAUUAGUCAUAAACGCUAAAGGUAAAUUACCUGUGGGAAAACUGCAGCAAUUUUCAAUAAAACCAAUUUGCAAUGUGGUGCUUCUGUUCUUUGUAGGGAAAGUAACAGUUGUGGGAUCCAAGAAAGCCACACCCAGUGAGGAACUUGGUCUAAGUGUUUAUCAAACACCCUACCAACAGGCUCAUUCGCUGUAUCGAAGCUAAGAAGAUAAAGAACACGAGCUAUAUGACUUCUGGAAUUGGAAACACCAAAUCUUAUUCCCUGAAGAAAGCAACUGACAGCAUAUUCAAGCCAAAUUUCGUCUUGUGUUUCUUGGUAUGCCUACAAAAGCGAGUUAAAUAUAAGUACAAGGAAUACGAAAUUUAGGGGAAUGUUAAGAGCUAUAUAAGAAACAGAACACAGUCACAAGAAAUACCAUAUCACAAUAGCUUCCCCAGCUUAUCCAUCCUUUGGGUAAAUUCUUAAACAGGGUGAUCGCAUUGGAAUAUGCGAUAUUAGCACUUUCGGUGUCAUUUAGUUUCAAAUGAAAAUCCCCCUUCAGACGAAAUAUCUCUGCUUUGAUCUUAUCUGGAAAAUACUCCAAAUUUGUGCUAUUUAUCAGAUUAAGACCACUAGCACGCUCUCCCUUCAUUUCCAGAUAAGCUUUUGCUUGCUCUCUAAUUUUAACAAAAGCUUCCUGCAUUUACACACCCAAAAACAGAAGAUGAGGAAGAUACUUUCAUAUAUAACAGUAUUACAAGCUUUGAAAACAAAAGAAACCAACUAUUUAAAAAAGUUGAUGAGAUAUGAAUCAAAAAAGAAAAGAAAAAAUAUGCAGAUCUUGUGUAGAUUACUGCAAUUAAAGAUUUUGCAGAAAUGUACCUGUACUUCCAUUGUCGAGUGUCCAUACAUUUUUUCAAGAAUCUGAACACAAACAUCAUAAAGUCCCUGUUUCCGAGCUAUCUUGGCAAGCUUAUUGACGUUCCAUGCUUUGUCACGGAAACCAAGGUGAUGAAGUGGAGAAUUUGAAGUAGCGAAGUCUUUAAAUGCAUCAAUAACAACAUUAUACAUUUCAUUCCUCCACUGUAGCAUAUCAUACCAGACUGUCAUAUUGUCCCAUUCAUUUGGAGUCCUCAGCCUCCAAGUCUCAAGAAUAUCCUUCAGAUCUGCAUAACGAUUUCCAAGUCCACCAGCUGCAGCAUUUCCUGAAACUUUGUUCCCAUUUGCGAUGUCAACAUGAAUUCUAGCAGACUCCUGCACCUCAACUAGUUGUUGGAAUUGCUGCAGUAGAGGCACUCUAGCAUGAACAGACAUUUCAGGCAACUGCCACCACUGUUCCAAGGCAAGAUCAACGCCUUUCCCCACUGUGUUUUCAGCAUCUCCAACACCAUUUGAAUUUCUGUCAUGAAGGGCAAAAUAAGAUUGAACCAAACGAAGCUUUGGAGUCUCCUCCACUUGUGCCUUUGGUAUCACGUGGUCCUUCAAAUAUGCCCAAUCGGGUAAUUUCCAAAGACUAUCAAGCAGUAUUUCAUAAUUUUCAAUGCUUUUUCCAAAAUCUACCAGGGCAUCCCAUUGACUAAGCUGACUGGCACAGUGAAGCCACUGCUCCUCCCACAGACACAUUUCAGCUUUAGGGACUGUGUUGUUAUACGUGCCUUGGGUUGCCUUAACCAUUGCCUGGUAAAAGAGGCUCUGAGCACGCUGCCAAAAACCAUGCUGAACUAAUGAAAGUCCAGCUCUCGUUUCAGCGGUAAUGGACCUCUUCUUCCACAACCCAAAUCUCAUAUCUUCUUCAUUUAACAAACGAUAAAGCUCAGCAAGAGACUCAGCACAUUUUGAGUCAUUCAUGAACAACAUCACAUGGCUCUCUAGCAAAGCCAAUGCAAGAUGCCAUGCAUUGUACGUUUUCCCAAUAUAUUUGAUAAGCUCACUAGGCAUCCUAGGUUGAGGGUGGCUCAACUGAAGCCCUUCCAGAAGUGCUUGGACAACAUUUGGCCGGUGUCCUUGCUGCUUCUUAUGGUAGUCCUUUGAUAGUAGAGAAAUCAUAGGUUUAGCCAAUGCUACCUGUUCUUCCUUGAGCAGGGUUACCCAUACAAUUGGAAAUACCAAAACCCACAGAUGAUAUGCAACAUUGGCAUCAGUGUGAGCCAGCUCCCUUAAUGGGAUGACAACAUCAGCCACCUAUAGUGGAAAUUUGAAAAAGUUAUAAACUUCAGUAUAUGAAUAACGUAUUAUUCAGGUAAUCUCAUCUCAAUCAGGUGGAGAAUACGCUUAGGGACUUAUGAUAAUCUAGUCAACAUUUUCGAUCAGGAAUAACAAAGAGAAAGCACCAUGAUAACACAAAAGGAAGCUUUAAAUGAUUCGUAAUCACCUGAAGUUUGCUGGUCGCGCUCAGAAACUGUGCAUGCUUCAUAACAAUGCUGUCAAACAUCGAAGUAACUUCUUCGGGACCCUCUAAGUUAGCAGAAGCUUGGUGUUGUAUUACAGGAUUAUCUGAAGGCAAAAGUGGUAGUACCCUUGCAGAAUUUGGCGCCAGGCUAAUUGGCUUGUCCUCGACUAAGAUAGCUAGAAGGAGAUCAAGACCUUGUUUGAGCCAAAAAACAUCACUUAAAGCUUCCCAGUCCUGAACUUGAAUAAUGUACUGCAACCGCGCAAACAGAUUUUUUCCAAGAGACUCAUGAUACAACAAGAAGAACUUCCUUCUCAUCUCAGGAUCACUGGCCCGUAAACCAAGCAUAAAAUGUCUUUCAACUUUCAGAGAGACCUCUUGUCGUAGGCCCAGAGGAUACCUGUUCAUUAAAUAGACGAAGAUAUAUCAUCCAUCUCCUAAAAGAAAGAUGUGACACAAGAGAAAAAUAUAAAGCAUCAAACGUACUUCGUUGAAUCGGCACAAAGUCCGUAUAACAGCUGAAGAUACUUCUGAUCCCACUCUUCCAAAGCAUCAGAUGAGAAGUGUUGCUUAUCAAUACAAGAAAGCUUAUUGAGAAAGGUAACUACGUCCUUUUGGGUAAGGAAAGAACCAGACAAACCAGAUGCGCCUGUUUUGCUGAAAUCAUCCUCAACCCACCUUUUUAUCAUAUCUAGUAUGCAGAGAAGCACACUAGCAUCAGUACCCUUUUCGGAAAGUAAGGUGUUCAAAAUUUGAGUAACAGAUCUUUUGCAAUCUGCUAUAAGCAUGACCGUUUCAUCAAUAAGUUCCAAGACCGACUUUAUAUUACAUAUAACUGCUCCAACAUCAGCAGUUUGACGAGAAGAAGUAACUGCAGAAUCUGAAUCUGUUCGCUGGCCCUGGAAAUGGAAAGAAAAAGAUCCAGCGUAAGCCGUGAAUGGGGUACGACUAGGUUAUCUAGUCACCAUCCAUUAGUCAGAUGGAAAAAUAGAGAUAGAAAUGAUAUCGUGAUGUUGAUAUUAUACAUGAAAACACCAGAAAGAUGUUAGCUAAUAACAUAAAGUAAAUGAGUCUGAGUAGAAAGGUAAUGUAAGAGAGGAACCAGUCUAAAUCCUUAGAUCUUACAAGACAUUAAUGAAAGUCAUUGGUGCAAAGCUGAAAAAAAUGCAUAGGAGAUUCCAAUACUCACUAACGUGGCAAAUGCCAAGUAAAUUUAAAUCCCAUUUAAAGUUCCCAUACAAACGAAAGCAAGUAGUGUUGAUCUCUUAGCAGAAAAAAACAAUUAAGUAAGAAUGACGUACUUGUCUAGGAUGAGAACCCACUGCUGAUCCCAGGUCCCGUGCAAGGCGCUGAAGGAUACGCACCAACACAUAUGAAUCAACAAAGUUUUUAUGUACCUUGGCCAAGGUUUUGAUGACAAGAAGUACAAAGCUAAUCGAUCCAAAAAAGUUAUCAUCUCCUGAAGCUUGUGGAGCAGUAACAGUAUUCACAUGUUUGUUUAUCAGCUCAUUGACUUUCUGGUACAAUAGCUUUAUGUCAGGAGGUGUAUUAGCCGCAUCCAGUGGGAAUGCGGUGAAGACCAUCAUCAGCAAGGAGCACAACGAUUUACCAGCAUCGAGCAUCUUGUGUUUGAAACACGGUUCAAGAAUCUAGUGAAGAAACAAACAGUCAAUCUAGUGAGCAGUAGGCAAACAGCAUUAUUCUGUUCCAAAUCUUAGAAUAAAAGCUUACGGCAGCAAGUAUACCUGCGAAAUCUGGCUGAUAUUGUUCCUAAUGAAAAGAUGUGGCUGCUUCUCCAGAACUUUGUUCAUGACAUCCAAUCCCUGAGCAAGUGCUGUUGACGGAUCCGACUGAGACGGUGGCAUGCUGCUCAGCAGUUUUUCUAAAUAGUUGAACUUGACAUUAGCAUUUGGCCAAACCUCCAAAGCUUGUGAAAGCAAAUCUAAUGCUUGUUUGUACAUAGUAUUGGUUUCCCUGUCCUUAGGCUCAAUUACCAAUGCUACCUGUUCAAGAAAGCGAAAUAUUUUUAAAAUCGAGAAACGAAACUAAAAAUGAGGUCAUUUCUACUAGAUACAACACGACUAAUAGAUGAAUUUGUAAUAGCUCUUAGACAUGAGGUGACAUAGUUAAGAGAAUUGAAAAGCUACUCAAAGUAAAAUAUAUGUUCCAUGGUGUAAGGUACAAGCAUAAAGCCUUACUCUUAUGAGAAAAUUAAUGAUCAUUUCUUCCAUGGCAGCAUUUGGCUUGAAUUCCUCGUCAGGCUGGGUAGCAGAUCCAGGAGUUUCUAUAUUGGGGAUUGAUGCUGCACCGCCAGGUGACAUUACACAGAAUGAUUGGAGACCAGGUUCAAUUUUGACUCGUUUACUUGGAUCUUCUGAUGUGGAAGAUCCAUCUGUUGAACGCUUAGGAUCAGCACCAGAAGUAUGCAAUUCAUCAGUAAUCUGACUGGUUCCAUCAGUAUCAGGCACCAUUUUCAUUUCAUUCUGUCUUUGCCUUUCCCAGCUGACAACCAAUCCAGCAAGUUCAAUUGCGAGCCUCCUAUUCUCGGCAGUAGUAUUAUAUGGCAAACCUAGACGACUUAACGAAUUCACCAUUUGAGGGACAAAUUGUGCUCUACAGCUGUAAAAGAGAUCUGAAUGCCGAACAACAAGUAGGAAGAUGUGGAUCAAAUUUGGAAUUGAAUGACCUUCCUCCACCAAAAUUUUUUUUGUGUAUCUUAUCCAAAUUGGCAUGCGUGAAUCUCCAAGAGGUAGCCUUUUAGGCAAAGCUGGCAUUAGAAUAUCCAGGGCUUGCUUAACUAGCAUCUUAUUUUCAGGCUGGCAUGUCCUAAGAAGUGCGACAAAAACCUACAUCCAAUUGGCAAAUUACAUUUGUGUCAAUUAAAUAAUUAGACGAAGUUAUUUUGUAGGCAUAUGCUUCUCUUCAGCUUACUCAGAUUCAGGGAGGAGUAACUUCAUAGACAAAAACUAACCAAGUGCAUGUCAUAGUACCAUGAAGUCUAACAAACAUGCAUUUUUAAGACAGGCAUGCAUUAUUAAGACAAAUAUGCAUUCAAAUCUAGCUUCAUGUAGUUUGUCUAUCAACAAUCGCAUUGUAAAUGAUUUCCACUUAAGCUAAUAAUUGACCGUCUCAGGCAUACACAAAUGCUAUGACUACAGGGGUUUACCAAUGGAAAGAGGAAACUAAUAUGAAAUACGCUGAUUUCAGAAGUUCAAGGAAAUUCUUUUUUCUCACUCUUCAAGAAAAUCAAUAAACAUAACUGACAUAUAAAUUUUAACGGUACCUGAAGAAUGAUUUUCUCAGGAGCCUGGUAAGCAUCCAAGAAGUGGCAAACAUUAACAAAUGCCCACUGUUUACUGGCACUAUCUUCCCGUUUGAGAUGAUUCCAUCCAAAUUUAAUGAGCUCUUUUCUAUGAUGAACCAAGUCACUCUGAAGAUAUUUUAGAAGUAAAGUUGCUAACUGCAAAAGUUCAAUCCUCAAAGGUUCAUCAUAUUCAGCCGAAACCUACAACAAUCAAGAUGAGACUUAACAAUAAAACUAUAAUAAAAUCUUAAUAAUUCUGAAGAAGUGGAUAAAAAUAAAUAAUAAACAUGGGUACAGAGUUACCUCCAAAAACCUAUACAAAUACAUUCAUAACCAGUAUGACAAUUAUAAAGAAGUCUUCCCCACAAUUUUCUUGAUAUACUUGUUUAGGAGAGCAAAGGAACCUACCUCUUCGGGUGGAUCAAGAAGCCUCUCAACAAUGGUUUUGACUAUAUCAGGGUCAAUAACCUCCCAAGUUUGGCCGUUUUGGAAAGCAUGGGCAAGCAUUGGAAGAAUAAGCAUUUGCAUUGCUUGAACUAAAUGAUCAUGGCCGAGUUGUUUGGAAUGAAAAAGGUUAAGAAAAUGCAGGAGAAGUGCUCUUUUCAUGUUGGGCGGGUAUCCUUCUGCAACCUGAUGAAUAGAUCCCAGUUAUUAUACUACUGUUGAUAAGUGUGACAACUAUAAUGGAGUGACAAGGAAAUUGUAACUAAAAUUUCAAAUCUCAGAUACCUCAAUAAUGUAGAAUUCCUUCAAAAAGGUGUAGUCAAUGCGGCUAUGGAACAAGAAAAUGGAGAGAAUAUCAAAGAGAACAUUCACUUCAGAUUUUUCAUGCCGUAGGUAAUUUAAGAAGCACUUGACAAGCCAUUUGCUCUCUUUCACCUGAGUUUGAGAACACAAAAGACUUCAGAUUCCAACUUUUCAUAUAUUUUACAUAACUCAAAAUGAAGACUAUUGAAAUAUUCAAAUCUCACAACUAUAUGAAAAGUUGUGUAAAAUAUAUGAAAAGAAAUCAUAAAUUUCUUUAUCAAUUUACGUUGGUAGCUCAAUAAAGUAUAAAAUAUGGAAUUGAAACAAUGUCAGGAGGCAAGCAAUAUAAGAAAAAAUGUGCAUACCAUCAUAACACAGCCAAAUCAAGAAUUCAAUGGAAACAAAUUUAACAUAUUCCACAGUGAAGCCAAAUCUCUAGCACCAGCAUAUAGCUAAAAAUAAGCAAUCAUUAACUAUAAUGGUUUCUGAUCUUAGAUAUCAGUUUCAACUUUUCAUACCUGGCUAUUUCCAGGAAUAUUAAACUACGCAGCUUCAGCUUGAAACACAACGCAAAGCCAAAAAUUAUAAGUGGUUGAGAUAGAAGAAACUACCUGAACUAAAUUCAGCUCUUGCUCAUUCUGCAAACGAGAUAUCCUUGCAGGUGAUUUCCAAAUGAGAACCAAGGUAUCGAAAACACUGCGGUUACUCUGCAACCAGCUGGGUAUCAGUUUCACCAUUGUUUUGACGAGAUAGAGCCCCUGAAAGUACGCAUCCGAUGCUAUAUUAGCCUUUGUUGAUGCCACAUUAGAACUCUCUAAUUUAACAGAGAUAUGAUUUUCAUCUCCAGAUGAUGUAGCAGGAGGAGUUGAAGCUGCCGAGCUCAAUGUAGGAUCAGGUUUUGGCAAAAUUUCAGGAAAGGCAUAUGACAGUAUCUUCUGUGGAGACUUUGCAAGUUCUUCUCUUAAUGGCUGGCCAGCAUCUGAUCGGAUUAUAUACAUAAACCUGAGUUUUGUUUUUAAGGGAAAAAAAAGCUAGUAUCGUUAGGAUAUGUAGAAAAUCUACUCCAAGCUUACAGUAAACUCAUUACAAGAUGCGGUGAACGAAAGCUUAUCAUAAGACAUUGUCCUCACCUUCGGAAAUAUUUUGGUUCACUUAAUCUAGAAAGAAAGUAGUCAACAGCGAGGGCCGCAUAUCGAUUCAAAAAUUUAGUAAGCGGUAGACGGUAUGGGCUAUUAAUCUCACUGUACACUUGCCCAGGAGGAAGAGCUGCUUCUAAGUCAAUGGUUAAGGUUACAAGUUCAUCUAGAAAUUUUGAUGCAGCAUGUGGAAGUAAGUGGAAGAGCUCGAUAAUAGCUGCCAUGGAAACAAAAGAAGUGAAUAAUCAUAUGACUAGACAUCGAUUAGUUAUUUUCAAAAACCAAAUUACCAGCUGCUAUUUUUGGCUCUUCUCCAGCUUUCCAUGAUUUCUGGGACUGGGCAAGUUUCUCCGGCUCCAACCAUUUUUUAAGGUGCUCCAGCAACUUUCCUCCUAAAGUCACAUUAAACCAAUUUGACAGAAGUUCAAGAAGGCGUGCCAGACCUUGCAGUAAAGGCAUACUGAGAUUCUUUGUGUGUGCCAGAUUAACAAGUAUUGGCCUGAGGCUACUCUGAAGAAGUUCCUUGGGCAUUCGUUGUUGAUUAAUAACCUAAAUCAGAAAAUAUAAUUUCAAAAGCAAAUAAAUUUAUAAAGAUAAAAAAUUAACGUAGAUAGGUAUCAAGAAAUAGAUUCCUAUGAUAACUCCGUAGAGCAAGUUCCUCAUAUUCAACAAGGCAAGUAUUGCGUGUAGCUAGCUAGCAUGGUUGCACAUAUCAGUUACCCAAAAAAGAAAACUAGCCAUGCUAGUACGAAUAGGAAAAUCUAUUUUCUUCACCAAAUAUCCCAAAAAUCUUCAAACUAUAUGUGCAUGCAAGAAUCCUGAUUAAGAUAAAAGACAACUACAAACCUGUCUUAAACCCUCCUUAGCAACCGCCACGAUUUCUGGUGCUCUACAUGUUAGAGACUUGAAGAACAUUGAAAUUAUUUUGGCACGUAGUUCAUUGUGAGUUUGCGUUCGGAAAUCAGUCCACGCCAUAGUAGUGCAGAGAAGCUCAAUACAAGCUGUUCGAAGUCUGUUCAAUGAUGUAAGCACUUUAGGAUUCAUCAACUUCACAGCCCAUACAGUUUCAUCAGCCUCAGCAAUUUGUAAUGCUUCUUGCAGAAAAUUAACCAACUCUGGAGUCACUUUUAGAAGGGGGGGCCUCAGAGCCAAGCAGAAAUUCAGAGCGGCAACUGUUCCAACCUGUAGGUAAAUAUAAUAAGGCAAAAAUUAAAGACAGAGAGGAAGACAAGACCGGAAAGAGAUACACAAAAGAAAAAUAGCACUGUGAGGCACCUGUUGAUCAACUGUCUUUGAUCGGAGUGGACGCAUUAUAAGUGGCUGUAGUAAUAGUUGGUACAAAGGCUCAAGCAACUCAGUUACCUCACUUCCAGUUCGGCUAGCCAAAAGUGCAAGGCAGUUCUGUACAUUUUUCCUCACGGGGAUGGAUGCGUUAGGAUUGAAUAACUCUGUGGCAAGAUAUUCUACAACAUCUUGAAAGCUUUUUCUACGCGCUUCACUGUUUGCUUCGUCAACAUUAUUAACCACACGUAGAAUCUGCAUAAGAACCUGACUUGUCUCUUCUUGCUCUUUGCUAGCAUAAACAGGAAGCCUCUUUAAAACAUAAACCAGACCACGCACAAUCUUUACUUGGAAAUAACAUAAUGUUUCAACAUUCACUUUCCCCACCAAUGCACCUAACCCCAUAACCCCUCCCAUCUGCGCUUGCCAUGUGCUCCCAUAACAGCCAUGUAAAAGUCGAGGCAAAAGUUGUUCAAACACUGGUAUUCGCACGCUUGGAUGGGGUGAAUAUACUGGAUUUGUAGAAGGACUCGAGACAAUCAUGGAGGCAUUGUGACCACCCCUAGCCAUCAACACAUCAGCAUGUUUGACAAGAGCGAGGAACAAAAGUGUUUCAGCAAACACAUUUAACGCAUUCAGAGCAGCUUUGGCGUGGAGCCUGUUUUCAUCUGCAAGCACAUCGACCAGUGCAUCUAAAAAUAUUAAAGGAUCUAACUGCUUUAAAUUGGAUGAUUGAUUACUCCUGGAUCUGGAACUUGUCGAAAUCACAGAAUCACCAAGUGAACUAGUACUUGUCGAUGCAUUUGAGGAGGUAUAGUCAACAUGCAAAAUAAUCGCAAAAUGCCGGCAGAUGUUUUCAACAAAGUCAUCAUCCGUGUCACUGAGAUCUGGAUCAGAACUGGCAGCAAGUAUAGUGAUCAACAGUGUCUUGAAGAUUGACUUCUCAGCCAUUAACUGGGUCUUUGUUUUCACUCCUAAGUCAGCCUACGACAGUAAGAAACAGCCCACUUAAUGAAAUGAAUCAUUCUUCAGCAUAUUAAGCAAAGUGAAACAGGUAUUAUAUGGAAAAAAGAGUUCAUUUAGAGAAGACGACAUAUAUACAAGAUCAAUUUUCUAUUAAGAAAAUAGAAAAUGAAUGGCAACAAAAACGAGUAUUACAGAAUUAUAAUCAUGCCCCACGUCUGUGGGUCAACAUCAAGUAAUGUCAAGAUCCUAGCCGAUAUGCAUUAUAAACAAAUGGCAAUGAUACACCAAGAAUGUGCCAGAAUUCAAAACGUAAACAAGUAAGAUAACCUGCCACAGAGAUAACCUCUGCCAUGUAAAAAAAAAGUUCAGAGUCCAACUAUGAUAAAUUAAGAUUAUAAGAAUGAUACUUAAAACUAACCUUGAUUUCCACUGAUUCACUCCUGUGCCAAGAUGAAUCCACAGAGGAACGUAAUAAAGUUGAUAAUUGCCUGGGCGUUUGACCCACAUCAGUGACACAUCCAGGUAAAUUAAGCUGGGACAAUAAGCAUACACGGAGGAAUUUUAGAGCUUGCUUUCUGUAGUAUAUGUCCAUGCCGUGAUUUUUAUGAAUAACCGCUGCUACUGCAAGAUUAAUAAAUUUGUCUAAUGGCACCAGAAAAGGUGUUGAUGGCUCAAAUGUCAGGACUAAGCGAAGACCAUGCUCUGGAUUAUCUUUGCAUUCAAGUGUAAGUGGCUCUUUCAGAAAUCUUCGGUUGCGACCACCCAACUUUCCAAGGAUUUGUAAGGCUUUUUUACCCCACGGAUAUGGCACAGGCCUCAAAUGGGACCAUAAUGCCAAGAUCACUUCAGACAUCACAUUAGCCAUGCUAGGUUCCAGGAAAUCAGGAUUCAGACUAUCCACCCAGAAUUCAAGGGUGCGUAACCCCAAGCUCACAAGUUCAUCGCUUCCCCUCAAACAGAAUACAAGAGGCUUCAUGAGACGGGGAAGGUAUGGCAAUAAGGAGCUUAAGCGUGCAGGAAGCGUCAAACAAAGCUCUAACAAAAGAUCUUUCAUGUCCUCCCCAGCUGGACCCUCGAGCAUUGUCAAAAGAAUAUUAAGACAAGGUAGCAGCAUGGGGAUCAAAUCUCUCAGAAGCAGCUCAUAUUUACAUCCAGCAAGACCUCUGAACACAGUGCGGAGCAAUUGCAUAUAACCAAGAGGUUUAUCAACUUCCGUAGCAUUCUUCAUGCAGACUUCCAUAAUAACAGGCACAUGGUGCUGUAAUAUUCUUUCAAAAUCAGAUGGUGUAUUGGUGACAGCCCCAAAGAUGCAUCUAAACAAAUGCAAAACUAGUUUAGUUGCAGCUGAAUCUGGAUUCUUCAGAACAUCAAGUUUGCUGCUAACUAGUAAAUUAAUCAAAACAUCUGCAAAUGGCUUGCAAACUUUGGGAGCUUGCAGAAGUGCUGCAAAUAUCUGAACCAGUUGGUUAUUGUUAAUCAUGCUCUCAAAAAGCUCUGGCAUGCAUAACGAGAACAUGUCCAUUAGAUCUCGAGGUUCCAUAAUAGCAAGAAUCUGGGAGAAAAGAUUAAGCAUUUCCUUCUCCUCAUCCUUUUCUUUGAAGAGAGCUAAGCAGUGGACACCACUCUUUAAAACACCAGAAGCUUUCCACACCUGCUUAAAGGCAGAGAUUACUAAGGUUUAUAGUCAUGCACUACUAAUGACUUAAGUAAACAAUCUUACAAUAAGUACCUCAUCUUCUCUCAUUCCUUUAAAACCCUGCGGAGCAGAUGAUUGUGAAAGAAGAGCUUGAGGGUUCAUCCCCUGGGCAGCAAGAGAAACUGUCACAAUUAAUAUACUUGCAUGACAAAACAAUAGAUUACUGAUACAAGCGACAGGACACAAACCUGAGGUCGAGGCAAAUGUGCAUGGGUAAUACUCCAUAUUAUUGUUUUCAUUCCUGAACAUAAAUCAAAAAGAGAAACAAUAUGAUCGUCCAGUAUAGAAUCAUGAUCAAUGUAAAAAGAUAAUUCUGCUAAGAUUCAGUACCCAUGACCAGUGUCUUAAUCAGAUUCUUACAAUCAUUCACUUCUUUGGAAUGUUCAACAGGAACCUGCAAAUUCAAAACUGCCUGCAACCAGUGUGGUUUACCAAUAAAUAACUUCUAGAUAAUUCAUUUGUUGAUCAGAAGAAAAUAUCUGAAGUUAUCAAUCAGACUGCAUAAUGCUUUGUCAAGAGACAAAAAGCCUGGUAUAAAAUCUAAGAAUCCAACUUGGAAUUAUAAUACCACCUAUAUUCCAACUUGAAGCGUGAGUGGAAUAUCCGUGUAAGAUAAUAUGAGAGCUUUUAAUUAGCAACUGAGUUUGAAUAUAAACAUGUGCAAGACGAUCUCACAAUGGCUGAUAAUUCGUAUUACUCAGUAAAACAAAAAAGUAAUCACUGAUAAGAGAUGACACAAAUUACCUGGACAGGAAGUUCAAGCUUCGACCUCAAAGUGACCCGAUCCUUUCCCACCUCACCCUCCUCCAAAAGCUACGAAUCGCAAAGCAAGAAUAGGUAAAACAUCCAACAAAUAUAAUGGAGUUGAGAAAAGAAUUAGCUAAAGGUUCAAGAUGCCUUUUUAGUAACCUAAUAGCACCUAAUUUAAAGGCAACAUAAAGAUAAAAGAAAUGACAUAUUAAGCAAAAAUACUUUUUACAGCUAUUCUAAAAGACCAUCUGGAAAUGGAAAGUGAUAGCAAGAAAGCAAAUGCAUCUUGCAAACUGCCCCUGAAGAUCAAGUGAUCAACUCAAUAAUAAAUACACAUCUUUCCCAAUCUCAAACAUUAGAAGGAAAGAGACCAAAUAAAAAGCAGCAAAACUUGCCAUUUGAAAAUCAGUAAAUCAUCAGUAAUAGAAGAAAACCAAGCGAAAAAAAAAGUUGAACUCUUGAUCACAACAUUUGAUUUUGAAAAGCAACCAGCAUUACCUGAGGAAUAGUACGCUUGAAAGUACUGAAUUUCCCCACAAAGGCAUCCAGGAUACGUCCCUAUAUACAGGUGUAGCAUGAGGUAAGUUAAUGGACAGAGAAGCCAAUUGAUUCUAAAAUGAACUCUCAAGUGAAUUUUAUACCAGUAAAAUCCGUGCUUCAUCCAUUGACUGCUGAUCAACACCUUUCUCAAAUAUUGGUUCUACCUGUAUCAAACACAAGUUUUGAUUGGAGCUUAAUUAAUAAAAAAAGAAAUAAACUGGUAUGCCUGGUUUAAGCAGUUUAUCAAAUUAAACAAGACAAACACAGUAGAGAAUAUAGAAUUACCAGAUUCAGCAUCAGCCGGGCACAUGUUGUAUGGAUGCUAAGAGAGAGGGUAGAGUCGUGCAUGUUUCUUGAAAAUAGGUAGAUAAUCCGUGAUAACUGUGUUUAAAGUUAAUCAGAGGAAUGUAAAGGAAGUACACUCACUAAGCUUGAACAAAAAAAAAUGAUGUUCUCUAACGAAAUCCUGAUGAUGCAAAGAAAAGUGAUCAAUAUGUUACAUUCCCAAGAUUUUCCACACACAGUGCAAUAACUGCGUAUUGUAAUGAAGUAUUUUUACUUAUAACGGAACCCAGGCUAUCACAAUCAACGUUUAAUACAGUUUAAAGCUCUGCAUCAGUAAAAACCUGAGCAAGAGAAAGAUCUCCGCGAACAUGGUGAACGAUCUCCGCGAGUAAGCUGUAAGCCAAAGGCCUCAAAGACUCAAAACAUGCUCGCCCAGUUCCAACUAGAACCCUAACACAGUAGACAAAGAAAAAUACCUGACAAAAGUCAAUAUAUGUUUAUAGAUACUUCAGCUUGAUAAAUUACAUGCGAACAAAAGCUGUGCUUGAUUAACCAAACAGCUCCUUCAGAAUUAUGAAAUUUUUUGAAUUUCAAAAGUCAUAAGCCUCAUACCUCUCAUCUAAAAGAGUGUCAAUAAGAGGAAAUAAGCCUCUCUUAAAAUCCGUCCCAAGUACAUGCUUUAAUGAGACUAAGAGUUCCUGCAUUUCAUAUAAUGAGAAAUAAAUCUUUAGAAGAAAUCCCUUAAUUGUGUCACCAGAGAAAACAUACCCAAAAGAAAAAACAAAAGGUUUUCCACCUUUCUGAUAGAUGCAGAAUCUGAACAGGUCACAAGCAAAUUUACAAUGCUUUUGCAUAUGCUUUCUUCAUGCGGUCGGAUAUAUUCGGCGCAACUUUUUAACAAAUAAGUCAAAAAAGAAACCGUCUGCAAAUAAACCAAAAACAAAAGUCAAUAUAUCAUGGCAUCUCCCAGUUACGAACAAUAUAAUUCAGAUGAAACAAUGAGUCGGUGUAGGCCUUGAUAUAAUAAUAUUUCCAACAACGUAGAAAGCUUUGAUUUCCUUCCUUACGAAGAAACGUUGUCUCACCUUAACCUGUGCACCCUUCAACUCUAUGAACUGAGGCUUCAAAUGAGAAGGAACAUUCUCAGGUCCAGGGACAGAUAUAGCAACAACCAUCAGGGGAAGUAAAUGAGGAAUGUUGGUCUGAACGAGUCGGCUAUACAGCUGGAAAAGGAACAUAACAACAAGGGGGCUCUCUGUGAUUAUCUUGAAUGACCGAGUACUCGGGUUAAGCUGUCCAUUCCCGAUAGGUGCGGUAGGGGUAAGGGACUGAUCAGAAGACGUAGGCAUCUCCAUAGGCUUCACCUCUUCCAAUUUAACAUUAUCGAAAAAAUGGCUGACAGUGGAUCUGAAAAUCGAAUAGAUUUUGCAGACAAAGUCUAAAAAUGGUUGAACUUCAUUUUCUAGUGUGGGCCUAAAAUUCCUAAGAAGGUCAAAGAUUAUCCGAAUGCAAAUUAACCCGUUUUCUUCAUUAUCUGUGGUGAGCACCUGCAUUGCAACCUUCAAAAGGUCUUGAACAAAGGGACGAAGAACCUCACUGUGGGGAAGACGAUUGAGGAUCUCAACCACAAUGUUCCGCAGUUUGUGCUCCGGAUUAUCGAUGAAUUGCGGUGUAGUAAUCUGUAGAAGAAUAACCGAGAAUGCUGGGAAGUAGCAUUUUAAGAAAUUCAAGUACUCAGCCGUAUGUGCUAUCUCUAGACUGUCCCUGACCUCCACCACCAUCUCAAGCCUUGUUGGAAUAGCUACACAAAACAAUUUCCCAACAGAGAUAUAAUCAAAAAUUAGAAGUUUUGCUUUCACAGUUAAAACUCCUAAACAAGAACUAACUCGAAGUCAGACACUAUAAUUCAUACGAGAAUCAUGAUAGUUCCCGGAUUAUCUCAAAACCCAAAAUCAAAGGAAACAGCUUUAAGUUAUAGAGAGUGAAAUCAAGAGAGAAUUACGUAGGUCAGGAUCCACGAGACGACGGGAGUGUUGCUCGAAGUUCUGAAUUGGACUCAUGGUGAACCACAAAAGCGAAAUAAUUUACACGGCGGAGCUCUUUCGCCGAUCACGGACGCGACGAUCUCUAAACGCACCGUACAAGUGCCAGACUUAGGUCAAAAACAAGUGGAAUUUAGCGAAGGCUUUAACAAAAGCUACUGCACUAGAGACAAUUCUGGAGAUUUCCCGAGAAACAUCUGAGCAAAGACCAACGAAUUCGAGGAGGAAGACUAUGGAAGAUGAUGCUUCUCUAAGAAAUUUUCCCUCUCAUUUUUGUUUCUCUGUGACGACUCUCUUUGAAUAGUGAGUUCGGUGAACUCCGAGAAGAUUCAUGAGAUCGCCGACUUGUACGGCUCAGUUUUUAUUAUUUCCUUAAUGGGCCCAAAAAAGGCCCAAUUUAAUUUCAAGAGGCCCGUGGUGCAUUUUUUAAUUUUAGGAGAGGUGUUGUUAUCAAGAUGGUCACAUUUAGCUAACGAAUUUUAAUUAGACAGGAGCAAAAGCCAUCAUUAUAAUUUUAAUUAACCAAAAUUCAAGUGUAGUGAACGCUAAGAAUCUAACAUCCUCGAAAUUGCUAUAUAAGACACAAAAAAGUAACACUAAUUCUUGUGUUAUGUAAUAUUGAUGGAAGAAGGUACGUAUAAUUAAGGAGAGUAAUGGAGAGAGGCAACGAUUGGGGAAGUGGUCGGGCGGAGAUAGAGACAAAAGCAGCGUUUGGGUCGGUGAAAGAAGCGGUGGCCAUGUUCGGAGAGAAAGUUUUAGCCGGAGAGAUCUAUGCAACUAGGCUUAAAGAGGUAACAAUGUUCUAUAUUAUCACAAAUAUUGCUAAUUUUUAUUUUGGGAAUAUUUAUAUGUUGGUAAUAAAUCUAACCUUUUGACCUAAUUGUUUACAAUUUUUGUAAAAAAUUCUAUUACUAGAUAUACAACACACAAUAAAAUGAAAAAAAAGUUUGUAAAAUAUUCAUAUAAGUAUGUGUGUGUGUGUGUGUGUGUGAGUGUAUAUAACAUCCAUAAUUUGAAUUGUCAUUGUAUAUAUGAAUAAAUUGAUACAUUCCCAUAUAGUUUUUACUUUUUACAUCACAUGUAUAUGACGGUUUCAGAUACGGACAAAGGAAACAAAUUUAACUCCGCGUCAUCAAUCAAGACUACGAUCUCUAACACUAGAGCUCAAGCAGACAAAACAAACUCUUACAAGAACACUACAACUUAACACGAUCAUGUCCAACAGACUCAAAACUCUAACACAAGAACUCGAACAUGGGAGGAAGGAGAUACAACGGCUCAACAGGACGAGGUCGAGUCGCCUAGAUAAUCCGGAGAUUGAGGAACUCAAGUUCGUUGAACAGCAUCAAACGACGAUGUCUAAAGAUGUUGAAGAAGAGAUUGUGACGACGGAGGAGUUGGAGAAGAGGAGACUCGUGACAUUCGCGAGCUCGCCUUUGCUGACACGUGUGAUGUCAAGCGUCGGGGACGAAGAGGAGAGGAAGAAGAAAGAGAAUGAUUGUUUGGUCAAGAAGACAAAAUCAAAGAAGGGUUUUGCUCCGUUCAUGGGAUGGUUUAGAGCAACCCGAGGAAGAGAUUGAUCUAUAUAUAUAUAUGUCCAAUAAUGCUAGGUCAUAUUGAUUGUAUGAUUUUAUAUCGUUAUAUAAUAUAGUUAAUGUGAUGCGAAUGCGAAAUGUAUCAAUCCCGUUCUAAGAGUUUGAUGAACAAUACUUGUAUGUUUACAAAGGAUUACUGCAUAUAUCUUGCAAUGAUCUUACCUUGGUUCUUUACAAUUUUCUCUAUAGAUAAAAGUCUUACUUGUUAUCACAUUGAACACACGCAGUUUUAUCGUCAACAUUUAUAUGUACAUAUUAUUCUUUUGCGAUUUCUAAUUAGGUGUCGUCUCUGUGAUAUAUAGGCCAUGAAUGGUUGUGAAUUUUUAAAUACGUUUUAGAUUAUAGAUUUUGGUUUUUGGAUUUUAGAUUUUUGUUUUUGGUUUUAGGAUUUUGCAAAAAUAAAAGAAAAAAAAAUUAGAAAAUGAAAAAAGUGUUGUGAAACUUAUUGUUGUCUCAUUCCAUUCCAUGAAUAAUGAUACAUAUAUAUAUAGGCAUAUAAACCUAGGGUUUUAGAGUACAUAAUGAAUAACCCUGAUGGGCUUAUUGGGCCCGGUUAUAAGUCCAAUAUGAUGUAUUAUAACACUCCCCCUUGGACGGAGUAACCGGACCUGAUGGUCAAUCGGGAUCUCGAUAAUACGCUGGGGAAUGUUGCCUCAUUAAAACCUUACCAGGAAAAUCCAGUGGGAAAAACCAUGGUGAAGGAAAAAGAGUACAACACGCAUUACUCCCCCUGAUUAGAGCAUCACCGUAGAUCUACUCAUUCCUAUUUGUUGGAUGAGCUUUCGGAGUGUUGAAGCGGACAAUGAUUUGGUGAAAAGGUCGGCGAAGUUAUCGCAUGAUCGGACCUGUUGAACGCUGAUCGUACCAUCCUUCUGCCAAUCCGAGGUUGAGAAGAAUUUCGGUAGGAUGUGCUUCAUCCGAUCUCCUUUGAUAUAACCUUCCUUGAGUUGAGCAAUGCAAGCCGCGUUGUCUUCAAACAUAACCGUGAGCUCCUUAUCUUCUUUCAUACCACAAUCUGAUCGGAUGUGCUGAGUCAUGGAUCGUAGCCAAACACAUUCUCUGCUGGCUUCGUGAAUGGCCAAAAAUUCUGCAUGGUUUGAUGAAGUGGUAGUGAUUGUCUGCUUUAUCGAUAUCCAAGAGAUAGCUGUUCCUCCAUGCGUGAACACAUAACCAGUUUGAGACUUGGCAUUGUGCGGAUCUGAUUGAUAUCCUGCAUCAGCAAAACCAACUAGUCCAUCCUUGUUGUGGUUAGUGUAAAACAGUCCUAAGUCUUUAGUACCUUGAAGGUAUCUUAGGAGGUGUUUGAUACCAUUCCAGUGCCUCUGAGUUGGACAUGAGCUGAAGCGAGCUAGGAGGUUCACGGCAAAACAAAUGUCUGGUCUAGUGUGACUAGCCAAGUACAUUAACGCUCCUACAGCACUGAGGUAUGGCUUUUCUGGACCGAGAAUUUCUUCAUCGUCCUUCUUGGGACCAAAUGGAUCACUGUCCAAUCCUAGGCUCCGGACAACCAUUGGGCUGUUCAAUGGGUGGGCCUGGUCCAUAUUGAAUCGCUUGAGUACUUUUUCAAUGUAAGCCGCUUGAUGCACAAGGAUUCCUCCUUUAACGUACUCAAGUUGUAAACCCAAACAGAAUUUAGUUUUACCUAGGUCUUUCAUUUCGAAUUCUGCUUUCAAGCAGUCGACUGUUUGGGAGAUUUCACCAGAUGUUCCGAGGAUGUUUAGAUCAUCCACGUAAACUGCUAUGAUUACAAAUCCUUUGUUUGAGUAUUUCUUGAUGAAAAUGCAUGGACUGAUGGGAUCGUUUUUGUAGCCUUCUCUGAUGAGAUAUUCGCUUAACCGGUUAUACCACAUACGUCCACUUUGUUUCAGUCCAUACAAGGAUUUGUUCAGCCUGAUGCAGUAUUGAUCUCGAGAUGCAUGCUUAUCUUUAAGCUCUAUGCCAUCUGGUAAUCUCAUGUAUAUUUCAUUGUCGAGGGGCCCAUAGAGAUAUGCGGUGACAACAUCCAUUAACCGCAAAUCUAGAUUUUCUCUUAUGGCCAGACUUAUGAGGAAUCGAAAAGUAGUUGCAUCCACCACCGGAGAAUAAGUCUCCUCAUAAUCGAUUCCGGGUCUCUGUGAGAAUCCUUGUGCUACAAGCCGUGCUUUAUAACGAACGACUUCACCGAGUUCGUUUCUUUUACGCACAAAGACCCAUUUAUGGCCCACUGGUUUGACACUGAAUGGUGUCCGGAUGAUCGGACCAAACACAUUCCUGAGUUUGAGACUCUUUAACUCCACGUUUAUGGCUUCUUUCCAUUUUAGCCAGUCUGUUCUAUGAGUGCACUCUAUGAUAGACGUGGGUUCUAGAUCCUCUUGCGUGUUCGCAAUAUCAAGUGCUACUUUGUAUGCAAAGAGUGCAUUUAAGUCGACUUCUUUUCUGUUCCAUUGGGUUCCAGACAUGUUGUAAUUGAUAGAGAUCUCAUUGUUAUCGAUCUCGUCAGAACCUAGAGAUUCGGCGUCCCAAACCUCUUCUGGUGGUUCAUUAGAGUGAGUCUCAGCGCGCGCUAUGUCUGUUAUAUUGGGAAUCCCGGUUUCAACUAUUGCACCUUUCUUUGAUUUCCGUGGAUUCUUGUCUUUGGAACCUAGAGGUCUGCCACGUUUAUUUCGUGAUGCAGACUCUGUAGCAACUUGAACUUGUCCCGUUGGAACAGUGAUUCGUACUGGUGCAUUACAAGCUGGUAUGUACGAUUUGGUUACUUUGUUCGGGUCAGCAAAGGAAUCUGGCAAUUAAUUAGCUAGCUUUUGAUAGUGUAUAAUCUUUUGGAUCUCCGAAUCAUAUUCUAGAGUCCGAGGAUCUUGCCAAUUUAAGGAUGUUUGAUUCCAUGAUAGCUCUUUGACCAGCUUGUGUUUCUCUCCACCCAAUGUUGGAUAUACCGAUUCAUCAAAUUGGCAAUCCGCAUAUCUGGCCUUAAAUAGGUCUCCAGUGGUCGGCUCGAGAUAUUUGAUGAUGGUGGGAGAAUCAAAACCAACAUAUAUUCCCAUCCUCCUAUGAGGUCCCAUUUUGGUUCUAUGUGGUGGAGCAAUGGGUACAUAGACUGAGCACCCAAAUGUUUUGAGAUGGGAGAUGUCUGGCUCAUGACCCUGUAAUAAUUGGGAUGGGGAAUAUCUAUGCUCACUAGAUGGUCGGAUGCGUAUUAGUUCAGCAGCAUGUAAUACUGCAUGUCCCCAAGCUGAGACCGGGAGUUUCGACCUUAAGAGUAAUGGUCGAGCAAUCCAUUGGAUUCGUUUAAUGAAUGAUUCAGCAAGUCCAUUCUGAGUAUGGACAUGUGCCACAGGAUGUUCAACGGUCACCCCCAUGGCCAUACAGUAAUCAUUAAACGUUUGGGAAGUGAAUUCACCAGCAUUAUCAAGACGUAUAGUCUUUAGUGGGAAGUCUGGAAAGUGGGCUCGUAAUCUGAUGAUUUGAGCCAACAACCUAGCAAAAGCUUGGUUCCGAGAAGACAACAGGCAUACAUACGACCAACGGGUCGAAGCAUCUAUUAGUACCAUGAAGUACCGGAAUGUCCCAGAAGGUGGGUGAAUGGGACCACAGAUAUCUCCUUGGAUUCUUUCCAGAAAAUGCAAUGUCUCUUUGGACACUUUUACUGGUGAAGGCCGAGUGAUCAACUUCCCUUGGGAGCAAGCUGUGCACAUGAGGUGCUGAGGGAAGAUUCGGUUUUCUCGAAGGGUGUGUCCUUGAGAACUUUGGAUUAAUUUACGCAUCAUGGUUGUACCGGGAUGACCAAGCCGGUCGUGCCAAAUAGUGUAGUCUUGGAACCGGGCUUUGAGAGCAUUAUUAGCCUCAAUCAUACUGACCUUGGCAUAGUAAAGGCCAGUAGAUAAAGCGGAUAUAGUCUCGAGGACUUGUUUAUGGCCAAGUGUGAUCUUAGUGAUCAGUAGGGAUUCUUUAUUCCCUUCACCCUGGGUUUCUAUGUGGAAACCAUUAAGUCUGAUAUCUUUAAAACUUAAAAGGUUUCUUUUUGAGCUGGGUGAGUAUAAUGCAUCUGGAAUGUCCAGAUGUGUGCCGUUUGAUAACAACACAUGUUCAGAUGAUAGAAUCAAUCGAGGAGAUCUGAGAUCUCGUAGUCCAUGGGAUCGGUCGGCUCGAUGGUGGUGUCGUUAGCAUCAACUUGCAGGGCCAUGUUAGCUUCAGCAGGUGCUUUCCCAUGUUUCUGAUAAAAAUCGCAAUGAAACUUGGGAAUACGACAGUUCUUUGUCCAGUGAUUGAACAUUCCGCAACUGGUGCAGGCAGACUGAUUGGUUGGGUGGGCAGGGCGGUUUGGUUUAGAGAUACCACGGCCCUUACCGGAACCAUAACCGAGGUUAUGUCGGUUGUCACGUCCAUUUCCGCGUCCACGCUUUCCACGUCCAUUCCCAUGUCCACGGCCACGAUUCUUUGCGGGAAUCUGGUACUGGAGCCGAUCCCGGGGGCCUCUGGGCACUGUUCCUCAUUAACAGCUCGUUGUUUUUCUCAGCCAAGAGCAAACAAGAUAACAAAUCUUCGUACAAUGUAUGUUUCAUUGCACGAUAUUGCUGCUGAAGCACAAUGUUUUGGGUAUGGAAGGUGGAUAAUGUUUUCUCGAGGAGAUCAUUAUCAGACACCUCUUCACCACAUAGUUUCAUGAUUGAAACUAUCCGAAAGAGUUCGGAGUUGUAGUCAUCCACAGAUUUGUAAUCUUGGAACCGGAGUUCCUUCCAGUCAAACUUGGCUUGUGGCAAGAGCACCGUUUUCUGGUGAUCAUACCGUUUUUUCAGGGCCACCCAAAGUUCGAGUGGGUUCUCAAGAGUGAGAUAUUGUUGUUUGAGGCUCGCGGCCAAAUGAUGGCGGAUAUGAAAUAUCGCCUGGGACCGGUCUUUAUCAGAGGCUUUGUUAUCCGCUUGGAUACACGCACCCAGUCCCUUUGAGUUGAGGAAAAUCCUGGUGUCCAGGGCCCAUUCGAGAUAGUUUUCACCGGAGACCUUGAGGGCCUCGAACAUGAAAUUGAUUUCAUUAGGGGUUUGUUAAAAUAAUAGUUGGAAAACUUUCUAUUUUAGGCAAGUUUCUAUUUGAGCAAACUUUAUAUUUGAGGAAUGUUUCUAAAUUGGGGAACUUUCUAAAUGAGGAAAAUUUCUAUUUUGAGGAAAGUUUCUAUUUUAGGAAACCUUCUAAAUGAGGAAAGUUUCUAUUUGAGGGAAACUUUCUAAAUGAGGAAAGUUUCUAUUUGAGGAAACCUUCUAAAUGAGGAAAGUUUCUAUUUGAGGGAAACCUUCUAAAUGAGGAAAGUUUCUAAUUUGGGAAACUUUCUAAAUGAGGAAAGUUUUCAUUCCGGGUCAUUUGCUAUUUGAGGAAAGUUUCUAUUUUAGGAAACUUUCUCGGGAAUCGUAAAUUUUAAGGAUACGGAACAUAAGUUCGGUUUAAUGGUUUAAAGUUGGACCGGAAUAUUAGAUUCCGGUUUGGGCCGAAUUGAUUUCCGGUUUAGAAUAACCAGUUUGAACCGGUUUACCCAGAUUGAGAUCCGGUUAUUAUUUUGGAACCGGUUUGAUAAUCGGUUUAACCGAUGAAUCGAAUUGAUAUUCGGGUUUAGGAGUUAACCGAGAAUGAUUUCCGGUUUAGGGGAUACACGAAAAUUGCGGUUUUAGAUUUGAUUUGAUUUAGGUUUUAAGAUUUCGGCCAUGGCUUAGUGUUUUCGAUUUUGAGUGUUAGGUUUAAGUAAUACAAGGUUUUUGAUCUUUAAGCUUUUAAGGUUUUGUUUUUACCUUUCACCAAUUGGGGUUAAACGAAUUGAACCGGGAGCUUAAGACCUCGGUAACUCACGCUGUCGAUGAACAGUACCGAUGAACAGUGUUUAUGAACAGUAUCGAUGAACAGUGUCGGCGUGAACAGUGUCGAUGAACAGUGUCGGCGUGAACAGUGUUGGCGUGAACAGUGUUUUGCGAUUUUUAGGGUUAGGGUUGUUAAGAGCAAACUCGUGCUGAUAACGUGUUGUGAAACUUAUUGUUGUCUCAUUCCAUUCCAUGAAUAAUGAUACAUAUAUAUAGGCAUAUAAACCUAGGGUUUUAGAGUACAUAAUGAAUAACCCUGAUGGGCUUAUUGGGCCCGGUUAUAAGUCCAAUAUGAUGUAUUAUAACAAAAAGAAUGAUACGUUAAGAAUUUGUUUAGAAAAGGUGAAAAACUUAAAUAAGAUGGAUUUUGAAUUGUCAAUGAAAAUUGUCAAAAUCUUGCAAAAACUAGAUUCCCUAUUUUUUAGGAAAACCAUUUUCACAAAAUCUUGAAUGGGUGAAAAAUGAGUUUUUCAAAAACAAAAACCAAAAACCAUUACAAAAACUAGUAAACAUUAGAGCAUGAUUAACGGUGGGUCUAAGACCAUGUCCAAGGCUCAAAAGAUCCAAAAAAUUAAUCUAAAAUGAAAUAAACAAUGAAUCUGGGUCCAAUUUUGGAUUUUUGACAAGCUUUGGAUCCGUCUACGUGUCUCAUUGUGGUUGGUGGAAAAAUAAGACAACACCCGAUUUUUUUUUUCCUCGUUUACUUUUCGUUCUUUCGCGAAUUGCUCUCUCUCUCUCUCUCUUUUUCAUCGGCGAUUUCACCAAGGAGGGACUGAAAUCGGAAGCAGACCAAGGAGAACUACUGUCGGAGAGUGUCUCCGACUGAAAUCAGAACCAAACCAAGGAGAACUACUGAAAACUGUUUGGAUUUAGGGAUUAGACGAUGCAUUUAAGGAAAUCCGAAGACAGUUCAACUUUCGUGAACCUGUUAUCUCUGAAGAAGAUGGUUGAUAACGUAAACAGAGUAAGAACAGAGUAAAUGCAAAAUAGUGUUCUCAAGGUUUUAUUAAUCAAACUGCUACAACGUUCGCAGAGGAACGCAGCAACACGUCCCACCUGCAAGAGACUCUCAAAGAGUACCUCCAGCAAAACGAUGAGGAGAGAGCACAGAAAGUUCUAGAAGAUUACACAAAGAAGAUGAAAUUGCAUAAUGAAAGUGUGAGAUAAACAUGUGCUCUUAUACGUGAAAUAAAGUAACGGAGUCAAUAACAGCUUCCGUCAUCGUUACUCUACAAGUAGAAUAUUUUAUCCUCCAGCUCAUCAAGUCACACGUGCUAUGCUACUCCACACGUGAGAUCGAGAAGCUUCUGGAACAUUCUGGAAUACUAUAUCAAAGCUCCCCUGUUCGAAGAACCUUGACCACAAGGUUCGAAGGAAGGAAACUUCUUCUGCACAUCAAAGAGAUAUUCCCAAGUUGCCUCUUCAGCUGAUUCAUUUUUCCACUGAACCAAGAUCAUUGUCGCAGCUUUUCCUUGAUGCUUGACCAUUUUUCGAUCCAAGAUCACCACGACUGCUUUGAGUUGAGAGACAUGGAAGACUGGGUGAAUGAGAGAUCCCGGGGGCAAGAGCAGUUUGUAAGCGACCGGGCACGUCGGUUAUUUUGGUGUUAAUGGCCUUGCAAUAGUACCAAAAUUCUUGACAAAACUGAAAUAGUAACCAUCAAGACCUAGAAAUCCUCGCAGCUGCUUCAAAGAUGUCGGAAUAGGCCAAUCUGCAACUGCUUGAACCUUCGCAGGGUCUGUUGAAACCCCUACUACAGCAAUAUAGUGUCCCAGAUACUCAAUCUUUGGUGUAGCAAACGCAAAUUUACUCUUUUUAGCAUAUAAACAAUGUUCCUUCAUUUUAGCAAAUACUUGUUGUAAAUGUUCCAUUUAAGUGUACCUCCCUUGAUGAACCUGCUCGAAGAUCCAUAUUUGAGAAGAUGCAAGACCCUCCUAAUUCAUCCAUAAGGUCUUCAAUUAGAGGGAUGGGAAAUCUAUCCUUUAUAGUUAAUCCAUUUAAGCCCCUGUAGUCCACACAUAACCUCUAUGACCCAUCCUUCUUCUUGACCAAGACCACUGGUGCUGCAUAUGGGCUUGAACUAACCUGAAUAGUACCACUCUGUAGCAAAUCCUCUACUAUCCUGUCAAUUUCAUCUUUCUGAUAAACUACAUAUCGAUAAGGCCGUUGAUUAACUGGAUCUGAUCCUUUGAUGAGAGGAAUCUUAUGGUUGUGAUUAGGACGGAAUGGUGGCAAUGAUGUUGGUUCUGAAAAAAUAUCAGCAAAUGCUUCUUUGAGUCGUUGAACAGCAGUGAAAGAAGCAUCAUCCAUGUUAUCAAGUUCUAGAGCUGAUAUACUCCAGUCCCCAGGCUGAUCAAUAACAUGAGCACUUAUCAUUGAAAGCUGCACUUGUUCCUCUUGCCCUUUGUUAAACUUGAUCUUCCUUACUUCCCUUACACUCCCUUGUUUUGUACC